ACUAUUUGCACCUCUCGAAUUUGUUACUAUUAUUUAUGUAACUACACUGUCUUGCUAUUUACACUCCCCUCUACUUAAAUCAUUAAAGCACUACUCAUCUCACUUACUACACCUCUUUUCUACCCAAUCCCCGUUUGCACUCUAAUUUCUUAUUCUCUCUAAAAAAAAACUCUAUUUUCUUUCUAAAUGUUAUUUUAUCUCACUCUUUUUUUUUAAUUAAACUACUACCACUAAUUAAAGCUCUAGUUUACAUAUGCUACCCUUAUUAAUCCAAUGUCUCUAUCCCAAUUCACUAAACAACCUCACUCAAACAUGUUAAAACGGAUUUAAUUCAAAUAAAAAUAAUAAAAAAAUAAUAAUGCCAAACAAUCAACACUACUACUAAUAAUAAUAAUACUAAUAUUAUCUAAGUAUAUUAAUAAAAUAAUAUUAAAAAUUGGGGUGUUACACCCACAACCUCCGCCGCCACUUCCAAGUGUCAUCCCCUACCUCCCACUCCCUAACAAACAUUUCCGCCACCGUACACAAUUUAUCAUCACAUAAAUCAUAUAACCUACGAAAACAAUCAUUAAGGGGAACCUCACGAACCCACCUAUCUAACGAAAAUAAUGUGUUAGCACCAUUACCUACAUGAAGUCGUAAGUUAUCUGGAAACCAGUUACCAAACACACCUCCACCAUCCCUGAUGCCAACAGUAUCCUUCAACCACACCGAUCCAUCACUUCCCCCAUCUAACAACCGCCCCCUCUCUUGGUUGUAACGGGCGGCCAAAAUUCUAAACCAAAGCCCUUCUCUGUCCACCAGCAUCCUCCAACACCAUUUCUCCAACAAAACUAAAUUAAACUCUCUAAUACUUCUUACCCCCAAACCACCAACCUCCCUGUCCACGCAAAUGGACACCCAAUCAAUCCAAGAUAUUUUUCUAUUUUCCUCACUCCCGCCCAAAAAAAAAAAAAACGAAGUAAAAGAGGAGCAAUAGAAGCAAUAAUACCUGAGGGAGCUUUGAAGAAGGAAAGAGCGUAAACGGGAAGCGAAGUCAAAAUAAACUUAAGGAGAACAAGACGAUCAACAAAAGAAAGAUGUUUGCUUUUCCAAUUAAACAGACAGGGACUUAAAAUCUUAAAAUCAAAUUUCUUCUUUGAGUUUUUUAAUAAAUGAGACACUUGUUACCUUAUGAGCAUUUCCCUUACUUUAUUACAAUAAAUACUUACUAAUAAUAGAAACCUUAACAUGAUCACACAAAUUAUUUAAUUAUCUGAAAAAUAAUUAUUUAAUUCAGAUAAAUCUUAAUAUGAUCCAUGUGUUAUUUAAUUAUUUAGAAAAUGCAAAUUAUUGAAAAAAUUCUCUUUAUAUUAAUUUUUAUUUUUGUGAGUAUUAAUAUUUUGUGCUUAAAAUCUUGUGACCAACCACCAAGAUUUGUGACAGUAUGAUAUGAAAACUUUUUAUGAGUUUUCUUACUCUCUUGGUGCGUGUAUAAAUUAUCCAUAGAGUAGUGAUAUUUAAACAAUCUUUUGAGAUAACUUUUGGUACAAUUUCUUUUUUCUCAUUUUUUACUGGUCAAAAACAAUGGAGAGAGAAAAAGGAAGAGAGAGAAUAAAAAUAUAAUGUGAGUAUGAGAGAGAAAGUUGUCAAGAAGUUGUCACAAAAUGGAUGUACAAAUAUCAUUUCUCUUAUCCAUAAAUGUAUGUCUGAGCUUCCAUGAAGUGUUUCAGAUCUAUAGGUAAUGAAACACCUGCGCACAAGCUAACCAUCCUCAAUCCAUUUUCGUCUAAACACGUGCACCCAUUGAACUCUCUAUGACUAACUUAAAUAAUUUGGGUCCUACAAUAUCUUCCACCACAGAUCAACGUGAAUAAAAAAAAAAUGAAGUUUUGUAAAAAAGAUGAAGUUACAUGUACUUCCUCCGUUUUAAAAUGAGUGUUGUUUUAGCAACAAAAAAAAUUGUUUUAAAAUGAAUGUCACUUUCAAUUUUCAAUGCAAUAAUAACUUUUUCUUUUCAAUUGUACCCUUCAAUUAAUACUAUGUUAUACUACUUCUAGAGUAUUAUUUUUCUUUAAUGAAAAACAAACCAAUAGUUGAUUAAGAGAAUUUGGUAAAAUUGCUAUGACAUUUGACAACUUUAUUUCAUUCCUUAAUAUGUGUGCAAUUGGCUAAAGCGACACUCAUUUUAAAACGGAGGGAGUAUUAAUUAAGGGUAUACAUACUAAAUGCUUAAAUUACUAAUUGACAGCUCGCAAAUCUCCGCCUCCACGCGCGUUCAGCUGCAGCAGCAGCUUCAUCACUCGUGGGGCUUCGAAGUCUACGAAAGCUAGUACGUCAGCUGCUAUUCUGGUUGUGUGCCAGAAACCGAACCUAGCAUGUUAUAAAUGCAAUGUUGAUACGGCGUUUUCGUCCACUUUUAACCGUAAGAGGAUUGGCAUAUGCAUUCGUGAUGAGGAAGGUGUCUUCGUCUUAGCUAAGAUGGUAAGUUUUUCUUGUUUACAUUGAAGUCAUGGGUUUAUUUGAAGCCCUCCAGUGGCUUAGCGACAUGUCUUUCAAUAACGUCGAUUUUGAGUUAGAUUCAAAAGUUACAUGUGAUGCCUUCCAUUCCUGUCGAGAUGAUAUUUUUGAGUCUGGGCACGUCAUCGCAUCUUGUAAAGCUCUUAUUUCCUCCUUCUCUAUAAACUUCAGGGUAGAGUUUACUAGACAACAAACAAAUACAGUCGCUCAUCCGUUUGCAGGAGAGACUACAUUUCUAACUAGUCCCGUCAUUUAUUAACAUAUCUCAUCUUUUAUUGAAACUAUUAUUAUUAAAGAAAUGCAAUGAACAUGUUUUCUUCACACACAAAUUAUUUUUACUAAAUGAUUGAAUUAAGUGGUCAAUAAAACCCUAACAUGAAUCAUUUAAAAAAUCAGAAUUUGAUUUUUUAUGAGAACAAUUCUUAAUUAAAAUCACUUACCGUUUAACCAAACUACAAAUUACUAUGAAACCCUUUCAUGUGAAAUAUGAACUAAAUAGUUAAGAACAAAAAGAGUUAAGUGUGUAUUCUUUCAAAAAAAAAAAAAAAGAGUUAAGAGUAUUUGGUUAAAUACAAACAUGUAAUCACAUUUGAUUGCCCAGAUAUUCAAUUAUGUUGAUAUUUUAGAAAAUACUAUUAUUAAACGUUUAAAUGAUAAGAUGUGAUUUGGAUGAGUGUGAAGUGGAGUCCGGUCUUUGUUAGGAUAGACAGAGGUUUGUCAAUGUCAUUUGAGAACUUUCGUGUAAAUAGACACUUUUUCUUUCGAAAUUGUAAGUUUCAUCAAUUACAAUUGACAUUAACAAAACUUCAUUUAUCCCUUGAAAUUACACAACGUUAAUCAAUUUACCCCCUCCAUCAAAUUCUUCUGUUAGUCAACAUGACGUUUUGCAAAUGCUUCCCUGAAGUUUCACACUUAUGUGCAAAAUGCCCCUUGAAUUUGACGGAGAGGGUAAAUUGAUUAACGUUGUGCAAUUUUAGAGAGGUAAUUGAAGUUUUGUUAAUGUCUACAGAUAAUUGACGAAACUUACAAUUUCGAAGGGUAAUUGACUAUUUACUCUUACUUAUUUUUAUUUUUAAGAGGACAACAUGAGGGUAGCACUUGUGUGACAUAGAGUUGGGUGACAUUGACCAAUCACAAUGUUACAUUGCUUGUGUUUCUCUCUUUUUCACAAGUAUUGUGACAUUGUGAUUUGACCAAUGUCACCAAUAUCACCCAACUCUAAGUCACACAAGUGUUAUCCCGACAACAUGGUUACUUGUAUCUUUUCUCUAUAGAAAGGAAAAUAGAACUGACCAGCACCUCUAGGUGAACAAUCUCCUAUCGAGGGACCAAAGCAUCAAGCAAAUAAGAAAAAUUGUCUUUGCCAUCCUUAUUUAUUACCCAACCGUUCAAGAUAGGGUGUCUUAACUUCAAAAUUUAUGAAGGAAAGGUUUGUAGGCAAUUUCGUGCUGGCCAAUCAAAGCAAGUCAGAAUUUGUCUUCAUAAAAAUCUUAAAGGCUUCAUAAGUGAGAAAUCUCACUUGUCUGAAUCGGUUGAAUCAUCAUUAAGUAUUGGGUCAUACUCCCCUGCCUCUUUUGUAAAUGUUGUCGGCAAUUUUUAAGAAAGUAAUCCCUCUGUCUAGGAUUGACUGUCCAAUUUGAGUUGCACGUGGUUCUUAAAGAAAUACAUAGUUACGUUAAAUAGAGUGAAAUUCAAUAAAUAAAAGUAUAUUAGUGAAAUAAUAAUAAUAAUAAUAAUAAAUAUUUUAUGUGUAUUCUAAAAUGACAAUUAUUUUAAUAUAUGUGGAGUUCGACUAAAAAGUUUGGGAUGACCGUCAUCAAAAUAUAACUUCUUCAUCUUUGUGAAUAUCAUCUGUCUUCCUCUUAAAAAACGAAUCAAUUUUUUGACUUUUCAUUUUAACUUUUAAGUUGCAAAGAAACAAAUAUAUCAAAAUGGUAUAUAAUUGUAACUAACGAACGGAGAGAAAGGAGACAACAAAGAGAAGAUGAGCAACAUAAGAGGGGUGACAGAGAGAUGGAGGGCGUCAUACUAACGGUCGACGACGUGAUGGAGUCGGCAGUGAGAAAGAGUGAGCAUCAGCGUUUCAUGAAAAGUGAGGAUGGCAACAUUUUAAAUUUCAUAUUAACUUUAGGGUAUUAUGGUAGUUUCUAGCCUACACCAAAAUUUUAUUUAAUUUUUAAUCAAGAUGUCAUGAUCUUCCUCAGAUCCCAUGUGUUUCCGCCACUGUUUUGAAACAAAGAAAAUUAUGCAAUAGUGACAAUUAUUAUAUAAAGGGGGACUUAGCUAUGUUAAUUUUAAGGUGUUAACAAGUGCUCCCAGGGCGCUUUUUAAGCAUUCUAAAAUAAGAAAUUAUUUUUUAAAAAAGUCAAAUAUUUCGAUUUCCAAUGUAUUGAUUACACAUUUUUUUUUUAUAAAUACUUAUUAUAUAUGAUCCUUAAAGAGAACUCUGGGAACCUCGUUAACAUUUACCAUAAAUCAAUUAAUGAUUAUAACCCUUUGCAACCAAUGUAGCUUUAAAUCACUCAAUAGAACCAUCAUCAUGAUGCUUGAUCUUGUAAAUCCAUCUACAACUAAUAGACUUCACAUUUGGUGGUAACUCAACAAGUUUCCAAAUUUCCGUUUUUUCAAGAGCACUAAGCUCAAAUUCCAUUACUUGAUUCCAACAAUCAAAUUUACUUGCCUCAAUAUAAGUUUUAGGGUUAGUGUUGGUGGAAAUAUACAAAAAAAAAAAAUCACAAUGAGGGUUAGAAAAAUUAUGAAAAUACAUGUAUUUGGAUAUAGGAUACAAAGAUGAAUGAUGUGUAUGCUUGCAAGUAUGAUGGUGCAUUCUUAACUCUGGAAGAAUUUCUGCUGAGGAGUUGGUUAGAAAUGGAAUUAGAUGGUGCAUGAGAUGAUGGAAUAAAUAGAUUGUUAGUAGGGAAAGGAGAAGGAGAUGGAUCAUAUAUAAUAGCAAGUUGAAAUAUUGGUGAAGGAGAAGUUUGAUAAGAAACCAAACCCUAAUGGACAAAGAAGACUUUGGAUAUAUUCUUAAAAUAUAAGAUUUUUGGAAAUGAAUAUUUCUCUUGUGUAAAACUAAGAGAACAAAGCCUUUGACUCCUGACUUGUAUCAUAAGAAAACAAAUUUUUUGGCUCUAGGAUCUAAUUUGGUUUCAUGACUUUGUAAAGUAUAAGCAUAAGAGAGAGAACAAAAAACUUUGAAAACUGAUUUUUCAGGUAUAUUAUCAUGGAGUAACUAAAAAGGAUACUUAUUUUGUAAAAGAGGUGCGGUGAUUCUAUUGCUGAGAAAAACUGCAUGUAAAACAACAUAUGACCAAAAAGGCAUAGAUAACUUAGAUUGAAUAGGUAAAAUUCUCCCAACAUUAAGAAUAUGUUGAUGUUUUCUUUCAACUUUCCGAUUUUGUUGGAGAGUCUCAACACAAUACUCCUCGUUAGAUAUACCCUUAGAAGCAUAUAAAGAGGAUAGAAGAAACUCUGGGCCAUUAUUAGUUUUUAUAAACUUAAGGGGGAUGUUGUAUUGGUUUUUAAUCAUGGUUAUGAAAUUUUGAAAAUGCAGUGAUACUUCACAUUUAGUUUUGAGUAAUAUAAUCCACACAACCCCACUAAAAUCAUCAAUGAUGGUUAAGAAGUAUUUAUGACUAUGAAUGUAACGCCCACUUUCGUUUAAUUAUUUAUUUAAUCGAGUUUAGGCGAUUAUAUUAUAUUUUUAUAAUAUAUGUGUGAGUUUUGUUGAUUUAAGAUGAUUUAAGUUGUUUUGGAUGUGUUUUGAUGAUUUGUUAAGAUUAUGAGACUUAUUUUAUUGUUAAAUAAAAUAAGAUUUGAUAAGAAAAUAAAAAUAUAAAAAAAAAAUUAGUUGAGGGCUGUUUUGAGAUUUUAGAGAGUUUUAGGGGAGAUAGUGAGAUAAGAUAAGAUAUUAGGAAGAGGUAUAUAAGAGAUAGACCUAGUUUUAGAAAAACAUUGUACGUACGACUGUUUUUGGAGAAAAGGGAGAAAAAGCCAGAGAAGAGAGAAUCACCUAGGAGUGCUGCGAUUUUCUUCAUACAAGGUAAGGGUGAGACUAUUAAUUCAGUAUUUUUAAUUGAUAUAAUUCUGAUGAAUAAUUGACAAAGUUAGGAUUGAUUUAGAAAAGUUUUGAAAUUAGGUCAAAUCCCUAAAAUUGAUGAUCAAACGGUAAAAGUUGUUUAGAUUGAUGUAGAAACCGUCCUAUAACCUUAGAAUAUGUUUAGGAUGAAUUCUGGAAUUGAAAUUAGGCUUAGAACCUUGUUAGUUGAUGAAAUUUGUGUAGAAACUGCAUUCUGUCCGAGCCAAAAUUCAUCGCUCGCCAUAGCGAGCCAUGAUCCUCGCCUCGCGAGUGAUGAAUGUUCAUCGCUCGCCACGCGAGCCAUUCCCUUCGCCUCGCGAGUUACAAGUCGUAGCUUGCCACAUCGAGCAACCCUACUCGCCAUAGCGAGCUUGACCAGAGAGCAUGUCAUUUUCUGAGUUUUUGACUUUUGAGUUGAACCUUAGAUGCCUUUGAGUACCUUUAGGUGCCUACUAUUGAUUAGGGAAUGAUUUAGAACGAGAUUGAACCUGGAACAACCUUAGUUGGGAUUCUGGCUUGUACUCGCCAUGGCGAGCAGAUGCUCUCGCCUCGCGAGCACUUCCAGAACUGAGUGCUUUUGAGGAUUGUGAGACCUGAGCUGUUUGGAUUGGUUAGGAAAGGAACUCUAGGUGCUAGUGAGACCUAUUAGAGAUAUUGACUGAGAACUGUGAAGCCUUUAUGAUAUAUUAAGUGAUUAUGAAGUGAAUUAUGGAUUGAUUGCCCUUACUUGAAUUAUUGUUGAUUGAUCAAGAAUUGUUGAGAAUGAUUUGUUAUUAAGCUUGACGUGAUUUGAUUAUGCUGCAAUUGUUAUUAAACUAUGUUGCAUGAGUCUGAAAUAAGUUGAUGAUGAACUCCAAAUUAUUGGAUGUAUAAGUGAUAAGUUGAUUAAGAUGUUUUGUUGUUUAAGUCCAUGCAUUAGCAUUCAUUGAGCUUUGUCCUCACCAUGUUCGGAGCUUUAUCCUCCACACGAUAGGAGCUUUGUCCUCCACACGAUUAAAGUAUAUUAAUACUAUGAUGACGAUUGGUACUACAUGCAUAUAAGUGUCUAAGUUGCAUUGUCGCAUUUGUCGAGUUUAAAGAUGUUUAAGUUGUUGAUGAUGAAUGAAGUUGUGAUUAUGUCAUAAAUAAUUAUCAAAGAUGCAAUGUUGAUUAAGACUGAUUAUGAUGUUAAUUACGAUUUCCUAUUAUAUUGAUUAAUAAUAUUGUAUUAUGAAAUCUCACCCCUUCUACAUGAAAAUGUUGCUCUAUGUAUGAGUAAUUUGCAGGUGAUCGUGCUUAAGUGUGCAGUUUGCUGUUGUGAGUGGCCUUGCCUCACUGAGUCGUCUAGGUCGCUCUGAUACGUAACGGGAUGAGGUUAUAUGUCAUGCAUGCUUCAUUCUUUUACGUGAACUAUUACGUUAUGUUAUGAUAUUGAUUAACUGUUGAGAUAUUUUGAUGGGGCCUAUGUGCCAAAACGAUUUAUGGAUUUCGAAAUAAUUUUCCGCUGCAUUGUUUAAGUAUUUGGUUAAAUUGUUAUUUAACUGAUAUUGGAUUAUGUUAAAUGUGAUAUCCCGUUUGUUUAUGUUGUUUACUCUGAUAAAUGUUUAAGAAAUUUUUAUAUUGGGAAAACGGGGUGUUACAAUGAACAACAUAGGAAUGAUUUGAUUUGGUCAUAGGAGAAGUAGUGACCCAGUUAGAAAUGGAAGUAGCAAGUGGAAAAGAUGAAGUAAGUUUGCUUGUUGGAACACGGAUAAGAUCUUAUCAAACUUCUCUUGGGAAAAACUGGUAUUUGGAGUUGUUGAUACCACGUCACCAUCACCAAUGCGAUACUUUAUGUUGUUUUUAGAUUUCCAAACUAUUGUAUUUGGAGUUCCAAAUUCUAUUAUCUACCGAAGUUGUUACUAGGUUGAGUCACGACCAGGUCGCUCUCUUUAAGACGUUUCGUGGCACUGCCCAAAAUUGUGCAAGGCAGACUAUCAACCACGCCGCCUCCAGGAUAAAACAAGUCCAGCUGCAACUGUUCGAUUAACUACUGCACUCUAGAAAAUCGUUCGAGAAUUACACCUCCAAAUAUGGUACUAAGACCACUCUUUAAUACUGAAACCACUUUAAUAUGGUAUUGUUAUCACUCUGUUAUGGUGCUGAGACCACUCAAAUAUGGUGUUAACACCAUUCUAACUUUAAGUUCUACAAACUACCAAAAUGGUACCACAACCACUCAAAUAUGGUGAUACCACCAUUUCUCCUCAAAUAGAAAAAUAUUGAAAUACUUUUUAUAUAUACCGUUAAGAUCAUUCUUAAUUCCGACGGGACAUUGUUAUUCCAAAUAGGGACUAUGAUCUUAAAAGUACUCUUUAUUCUGAAGGGACAUAUAUUAUCAAAGGGACUAUGUUUUAAGACCAUUCUUAAUUCCGAAGGGACAUUAAACCGAAAAGGGACUAUGGUCUUAAGAACACUCUUAAUUCCGAAGGGACAGAAAGAAGUAGAAAAAGGAGAAGAACUUGUCAACACAACACAAGUCGAAGGAGGGAGAAGAGAGGAAAAACACAGGAAGCAUCAACUGUGAAUUUCGGUGUGUUUUUGAACUAAGUGGAGUCCUCUAUUUAUAUAGAGAUUCUGUAACUGUUUUAGCAAAAAUUGCGACAACAGUUACUCUAAUGGAUAAGAUUAAAAUGGAGUUUAUCCAUUAAUCAGUUCAACAACACUUGUGGAUAGGAUCAAAAGAAACAAAUCCACAAAAGUGGAGGAAACAAACUAUUGGAUUUGAAUGAAGGAAAUAUAAUAAUAAUUAAAUUAUUAUUCUUAUCACAACCACCAUAAGCUAAAUUUAUGGAAAGUGAUAUUCUCGAAUAAAAUAAUAAUUACUAUUAUUUUUAUCAUUAUCAAGUAUUUAAAAUUAAAUACCACAAUUUAAACACUACUAAUGUGUGUGUUCUAUUUUAUGUGGGACCCCCACACUCUAUUUUUUCAAUUCACACAACAUUAGAUCAAAGUAUAAUUAUUUGGUGUUUAAUCUUCCAAUUUUUCAUCCAACAUCACAUCAAUGUUCCAACAAUCCCCCACUUGAAUUUAAAAAAUGGUUUCAAUAAUAACGGUAAAACGUUUCUAUAAGGUUGCUAAUAAACAAAGGUGUCGCCUACAACUUGCACCUUUGCAUAGCGGAUAAUAUUCCGAUUUAACAAGAAUUGUUUACAACAUUGAACUCUAUCUCAGACAUAGAACCCACACACAAAUCUUUUCCUAAGGUGUAUUCUAAAAGCUCGUGCGUUUUAUUGUCAUGCACGUCUAUCCUGGUUUUAACGAACGUUCUAGGUAUUCUGCCCCGAAUAUCAUAGGAAUCGGCCUAAGUUCCACAUUCGUAUAGGUGAGUAUAUCAAGAGUACUCCUGUAGCUAGGUACUCCACUCCACAUAGAGUAUAGUCUCAUUAAGAGUUUCUAUUAUCUCAUCCUUCUGCCACUGCAGGAAUCAUGCUUUCUUACUUUUCUCAUAGCAUGUUCUAUCACUCAUGACUUGUUAUUACCCAUUGAACCUAUUUCUUGGGAUCUCCAAUCAUGUAGGUCGGGUUACCAUCACUUGUGACCUUUGGGCAUUAGUCUCAUCCUAUUGGAUGUGUUUAAGACUUUCUUUCUAGUAAUUCCUUUCGUCAAAGGAUUGACUAAUUCUUUAUCAGUACGUGCACGAUAUACUUUAACCGUUCCUUUUAGAGCUCUCUAAUCAUUCUGUGUUCGUGCCUUAAUUAUCGUCUCUCACCAUUGUGGUAACGAUUCUCAAUUUUGUAAUAGCUGCAGACUAUCACAAUAAAUUAACACUUCGGACAACGGUUUCACCCACUGAGGGUUCUUAGCUAGCAAGCAUCUUAUCAACUUGCUUCUUCACUAGUUUUCUCUAGUGUUCUCAUCUCAGAUUCAUUCCAUAAUAUCAUUUGUUUCAACAAAUAACUCCUCCAGUGAUGCUCAAUGGGCAGUCACUGGUCGCUUUGAGACUCAUCUGAAGGAUGUUCAAUUUUUUUAUCUUGUACCACUCAUGUACAAUAUGAUACUUCUCAUUUGUAUCUUGUACCAUUCAAGUACAAUAGGAUACUUCUCAUAAUGUAAUCCUAGAGUCAUAAUCUUCUUAAUGCACCUCAUGACUCUUUCAAUAGCAUGACAAUGCUUCUCAUCUGUCUACUAGUAAACUUGAACAAAAGUCUUACGACGUGGCCAACGUCGAGUCUAAUACAUUCAAUGGCAUAUCUAAAGAUUGCCAAUGAUGCUCAUACUUAAGUGUUCUUGAAAAGUUUUACACUUGCAAGUUUACAGUCAAAGAAUUACAUUUCCUUAAGAUAUUCUCAACUUUGUGAGAUUCAUCAGAAAAGUUCUCAUUUCUAAUCUAGUAAUCUUAAAACCAAGAAUUACAUCAACUUUGUCUAGGUCUUUCUUAUCAAUGUUAUUGAUAAACAAUGAUUUCAUAUAAUUCAUAACAUGAAUCUUUAAACCAAAUAUGAGCAAGUCGUCUUCAUAGAGACAUAUGAUCGUGCAAAUAUUAUUUGUCACUUUCAUUCACUUUAUACUCAUUCGAUAGCAUUAGAAUGUCGAAAUUUUCAUGUCAUUCCUUAAGAGUUUAUUUUAGACCUCACAAAGAAUUAUCUAACUUACAGAACUUGUUUUCUAGUCCAUGAAUCACAAAACCUUCAGGUUGUUUGAUAUAGACUUCUUCUUCUAUUUCACCAUAAAGAAGGCAACUUUCACAUCCAUUUGGAGUACUAUCGAGUUAUGAACAGCGGCUAAAGGGACUAGUACUCUUAUGGAUAUGAUUCUAGUGACUGGUGAAUAAGUGUCGAAGAAGACUAUAUUUUUCUCUGUCUAAAAUCUUUGACUACAAGGAGAGCCUUGUAUUCAUCAACCGUACCAUCAGGUUUUAGUUCUUUUUCCUAAAAUCCAAAUACAACCGAUUAGUUUACAACUAUGAGGCAAGUCAACAAAGUGUCAUGUUUUGUUAGACUAUAGAGAAUCCAUUUCAUCGUUUAUUGCUUCUUGCCAUAAUUCAGCAUCCAAUGAGAAUAUAGCUUCUUUAAGGCUUAAUGGAUAUUCUUCCAAUGUAUAAACCAUAAGAUUCAUACUCUUUAACAAUGCUUGUUUUCUUACCUCUUCGAGGUUCUAUAACAUCUGGUACGAUGUUUUCAUAACUAUUUCUGAUUACAUGAAUGUGAUCAGAUAUAGUGCCCCCACUAGUUCUUAAUUUUUAGAAGGGAAUUUAUUUUGCCCCCGAUAAUGUUGUGCUCCCACUAGUGCCCCCACUAUUCUUUAGUUUAAAGGGGUAAAUAUUUACAUAGAAAUCGGUGUCUUUUAAUUCUAUGAUCACUUUAACAUUUAGGUCAUAAAACCUAUAUGUUUCGCUAUUUAUAGCAUACCCAAUGAAUAUACAUUCAUAGGCUCUACUAGUGAGUUCAACUCUCUUGGGGUCCAGAAUCUAAAUAUAGUCCAGACAAUCCCAAGUUCAAAAAAUAAGACAAGUUGGGUUGUCUUUUCUUCAAAAAUUUCUUAAUUAGAAUUUUUGUUCUUAGACUUGGGUACUCUAUAAAUUUCAAUUUUCGUUAUAAAAAUUGAACAUAUCAAGCAUAUCAAUUUUAUUUUCCAAAAUUCACAGUCAUCAAUAAAUAUGAUAAAAUAUCAUUUUAUCAUUUCUAGUGUAUGUGCCAUCAAAUUCACACAUAUCAUAAUCUAUUAUAUUUUGAGAUUCAUAUUCUCUAAAUUCUGAUUUAUAUGAAAUUUUGGUUCAUAUAUCUUGACUGCAAUAAAUAAAAUUGUAUAAUCAUAUAACAUUGGAAUUAAGUCCAACUUACUCAAGUCUAAAAUUAAAUGCUUGUUCACAUGUCAAAUAUUAAAAUCACACAACUAAUAAAAUAGAAGGAGAAAUUAACUUUGAACAUACCAUCAAAGGCGUAAUCUUUUUCCACAAGAAUGCACGAUACACAAGUCUCUUUUUAAGUCUGAGUCAACUCAGUCUUAUUCAAUAGAAAUCUGAAAUUCAGAAUCUUUCUUAUUUGCAUACGUAACAUUUGGAACAAAUUUCUUAUAUAAUUUCUAGUGCAUCAAAAACCUUUUCGAUCUGAUCCAUUCAUUGAGUUUUCAAUGUUCAUAUUUUGUGCAUAUAACAGGGACCAUAUAGAUGGUAAAUUAUCCUCCUGAAAUUCCAAUAUAACCUCCUAGUAUAUGUUGCGUAAAAAACAUAAAAACCUCCUAGAAUGUUUGAGUGUGUAAGGGAUAAUGCACAAUUUGUGCAGGGGCUGAGUUUCGAAUCCAGACACCCCACUUAUUCAUCUUAAAAGGUGAAUUUCUCUAGCCACUAGACUACUUGAUAAAAAAAAAUUGAAAAAAAAAAACUAUAAUAUCCAAAUAUCACCAAUUAUAAUAAAAUCACUUUUUAAACAAAAAUAGUUUCUCAAAAAAAUAAAACAAAAAAUUUCACUCAUACACACAUCACUAAAACAAAUUAAUUUUACAAGAUAAAUUCAUCAAGUACUAAAUCAAAUGUUCACUUCACUUGAGGAGAACAUCAUGAAUGAGGUUCUCAAGAUUCAUAAAUGAUGAUCCAUGAGGACCAGAAGCAGCAUUGUGUGCCAAUUUCUUCCAUUGCAAAGCUUUUUCUUUCAUCUCUUUACCCUUUUCUCCUUCCAUUAACUCCUUCACAAGAAUCUCUAUUUUGUCCCUCUUAGCAUCUUCAAUCUCCAAACCAAUCCCCCAUUCAUUACAACAAAAUCUACAAUUAGUUUGUUGUUCAGCAAAAAAAGGCCAACAUAUCAUUGGAACACCACCACAAACACUUUCCAACGUUGAAUUCCAACCAUUAUGUGUCAAAAACCCUCCAAUUGAUGAAUGUCCCAAAACUUCCUCUUGUGGACACCAACUUGAUAAUAAACCUCUAUUUUUGGUCUCUUCCAAAAACUCUAGAGGCAAAACAGCAUUUUCACCAGCUACAAGAUCUGGCCUUAUGACCCACAAAAAGGGCAUUUUACUAUUACUUAGUCCCCAAGCAAACUCAAUCAUUUGUUCACUUGUCAUAACAGUGAUACUUCCAAAAUUGACAUAAACAACACUAUUGGGUUCUUUACUAUUUAGCCAUUCCAAACACUCUGGCUCUUCCUUCCAUAGGUUGGACCCAAUUGAAUCCAAUUCCUUAUUUGUCACAUCUUUUAUGAGUAAAUGCAAGGGACCAAUGGAAUAAACAGGAGGUAAAAUGGAAGAGAAUGCUUCCAAAACAUCGUGUUCCAAAUUGUCAAAUGUGUUGAAAAUUAUUGCAGAUGCUUUUUGAGCUCUUUGGCAUUCCCCUCGUAAAAAAUCAAGCAUGAUAUCAUUAGGGUUUGUGGUUCUGAUGAAGCUUGGGAUAUCCUUUAAUCGGAUUUCUUUUAUGCCUGGCACCCAAUCUAUGGUAGUCUCCAAAUACCCAUUUGUUAUAUAACUGGAGUCUGCAUGUCAAACACAUAAUUUACUUCAUUAACAAUAAAAAUUAUUAAAAAACAAGAACUUCAAAAUUACAUUUUGAUCUAAUGGCUGUGCAAAAGCAACUUUAACAAUCACCACAUACAAAAAGUUAGAGAGUAUAAUAAACUUUUCUUUUUAUUAAAAUAUUGAGUUAAAUAUGUUUUUGGUCUCUAAAUAUGUCUCUCUAAUUUUUUUUUUUCAACUUUUAGUUCCUCAAAAAAAUUUCAUCUUCAUUUUUGGUCCUCUUUUAAAGUAAACUCAUAUGUAGAAUUCUUAUUUUUGAAUAAAAUUUUGCAGAAAAAUUCAUAAUAUUAUAAGAAUCACUUCAAAAAAAUUAGAAUUUUUUUUAUCAAAGGAUGAAUUUAAUAUAAAUUUUUAUAUUUUUUACGUUUAAAAUUUUUAUUUAAUUUGUGUUUUGUUAAAAGAUUCUAACUUUUUUUUAAAUUUUUUUUUACAAUAUUCUACACAUUUCUGCACAAUUUUAUUAAAAAAAUACAAAAAUUAGCAUAAAAAUAGGGACCGAAAGUAGUGAUUGAAAAUUUCAUAGGGACUAAAAGUUAAAAAAAAAAUUGAUAUAUUUAUAGAAACCAAAAACAUAUUUAACCUUAAAAUAUUUAAAUGACCCUAAGUGAUUUAUAUUUGUGGCUGUGAUAAACUAAGAAUUAUCCGCUUUGCAAUUGCAAACUGGUAGACAUCCAAAAUUAAACUCCUCUACACUUUGAGAGAUAUUGAGAGAGUAAUAAAAUGUGUGUGCUUAAGAGAUACACUAGUUACGAUAUUUUUUUAGGGAAGUUACGAUAUGUUUAUGAUGUGAAAAGAGAAAAUAAAGGUGUUAAACGUAUGAAAUUUAGAUGUAUGAUAUAAAGAGUGGUAUAAAUUGUUUAAAAAAAAAAAAGUGGUAUAAUAAAUGCGAUGCAUAAUUAAUGUUUUUUGUCCGAGUAAUCCGUAUAAUUAUACUAGAUGCCGGCUUAACACCGAUUAUGAGACAAUUCAAGAUGACAACAAAAUAUGAUGUGCCAUGUGAUGUCGGCGUGCUACAACUAACUUGAAUGAGAAUCUAACGAAAAAGAUGUAAAGAUGUAUAAUAAACAGAGAUCUCAUAGACAAUUCAAGAUCUAAUAUAAUUAUGUUUAUGAGAUCUCAUAUAUUAACUUUUAGAUCUUGAAUUGCUCCGAUUAAUUAAUGUUUUUUUCGUUAGAUUUUGUCUAUGAGAUUUAAGAUACGACAAUUCAAGAUCAAAGGGGGCGUUUGUUUUGGGGAAACACAAAUUAUUUCCAGAAAUAACAUAUAUGGGAAUGAAAAUAUGAAAAUUUGAUUCUUGUGUAUUUGUUAAAAAAAGUGUUUGGCAAAUAACUUGACAUUCCUGGAAAAAUUGGAAGUUACAAUUUUUUUUUUAAAUCUAUGCAUAAUAUUAUGGGACUGCACAUUCCCAUCUCUUUACAUGGGAAUAAUGGAAGUUAUGGGAAGUUACUCCAUUCCUAGGAACCUUUAUACCCAGGAAUAUUUUUUUCUCAAUCUCAUAACAAACAUGGGUAUAAUCAUUCCCUAGCCAUGUAUUCCCGGGAAUGUCAUUCUUAACCUUGAAACAAACACCCCCUAAGAGUUAAUAUAUGAGAUCUAAGAUUUGAGAUAAUUCAAGAUUGACAACAAAAUAUGAUGUGCCAUUUCAACAUUCUAUUUAUUGCUGAUUGAAGAAAAAGAUGUAUAAUAAAUAGGGGUCUGUAUGUAAAGAAAUAAUUAAUGUAGUUGGAAAUAGAAAAUGAGUCUUAUAAAAAGGGACAAAAAAAAAUUAUCUAAAGAAUUUUAUAAUUAGGGACGGAGGUAGUAUAAAUAUUCAGAACAUAUAGUUACAUAGUUUAAAUAAAUGGAAAAUGUGAAGUAAUAUAUAAUAUGGUCUUUGUGUCAAAAAAAAAUUGUAGUGUUUUUUUGUUUUGUUUAUGAGUCAUUGUUUUUGUCCAGAAUUCGAUCCCUAAAACUUACAUAUAUUAUACGUUAUCCUUCACAACUGAGCUGAGCUCACAAGAUGUCUGUGGGCCAUUUAAACCAACAUAUUAAAUCUCUUGCAUGUAUAUCCUCUUGGUCACACACAAAGAUUAAGAUACAUAUUUUCCUAACUGUUAUUUUAAUUUCUUUUAAUUAUUUAAAGAAGUACCUCAUCCUGUUGGUGUAUGUGCCUAAUCAAUAUAAAUGAAUGAUAGUCAUCUUGAUCAUUGAAUGAAGUUAAUAGUAACAAUAGUCUAUUAAUGUAUCAAAAUUUUAAAAUAAUCUCUUAUUAUGUAUUUUGUUAGUCAAAAUAAUUCAUAAUGUUAAAAUAUUUCAUUAAUAUUGUCAUAUAGUCCUUCAAUAUACUUAUUUAUUGUCAUAUCAGUUCUUAUAAGUAUUUAUUUAUUGUCAUUUCAGUCUAUAUGUGAAAAGAGUUUUUGUAGGCAUUGAAAGAUUAUUUUAGUGUCAUAGACUAUUUUGAGUAACAGAAUGCACAAUCAAAGACUAUUUUAGAAUAUUGAUACAUUAAAAGAUUAUUGUGAUUAGUCAUUACACAUUCAAGAACCAAAGUGACUAUUACCCUCAAUAUAAAUUUGGUCUUCUGAGAGCAUCCACAAUAUGGAGACACACAUUUUUGGGUACCUAAAUGGGUCUCAUAUGUACACAUCACUCAUUUAUAAUUUUUUAAUAGUAGUAUCUUAUAAGCACUUAAUCCUUCCAACUCAGAUCUCACAUAAAUUUCUUAAAUUAGACCCACUAAUCAAAUAUCAAUAACUUUAUAUCAUCACACUUCAAUUUUUUAAUAUUAAAAGAAUGCGAGUCCCGUUUACGAUUGUGAUCUUAAGUAAGACCGGGAAAAAAUUUCUCUCCGAUUUAGAUACUGAGUCUUAAAUAUUUAAGACUCUUCCAUCGAAGAUAAGGACUAAGGCAAAUAAAGGUUCAAUACUUCAGUUCAGAAAAAUACAAAAGGGAUAGAAAUGGAGGAAUUUCCCUUAUCCACACCCUGUGGGAUCACAUCAAUGACUGUGAGACAAUAUAUUUUCAACUAUUUUUAUGUAAGGAACAACGAUUUAGUCAACGAUAGGUAUGAGGUAUCGUAGUAGUCAUAAUUUAAAAUUUUGUUGAGAGUCUUUUUUUAUGUGGUGGUCGAGGUGUGAACCACAAACCUUACAUAUAUUAUGUAUUAUUCCUAACAAUUGAAUUAAGCUCACGAGAACAUCUUGUUGAGAGUCUAACAACGAGAGUAAAAUUUUCAUGUAACCAACAAUUUUUAAUGCAACAAAAAAACGAUUUACCUUUGAGUGGUGUUAAGCCCUCUUCAAUGAGUUUACGAUAUUGCAUGUAGCACAUGAAGCCACAAGCACUAGUUGUCCAAAAAAGCACUUCAGGGAUAUUAAGUUCUUGAGCAGCAUCCAAAGUAAAACUCAUACAACCAUCAGAAACUAUGCAAGUAACAGGAGGGGUGUCUAUAGCAUUAUUAAGUUUUGAAAGAAGUUUCUUAAAGUGAGGUGAACAAGUUGCUCUUGUGGAUUCACACAAGGAAGGAAUAUCCUGUGUUACAUCCACAUCAGACUCAGGUAGACCAUCAGGAAUGGUUUCAAAACGAAAAGAGGGGAGACCAUUGAGAGAAUUAGGACCUCUAGCUUUAAGAAGACGUUUGUGAUUAUAUUCAGUGUUAACAAAGGUGACAUGAAAACCACCUUUAAAAUGAAGAAGUUUUGCAAGUUUGAGCAUUGGAUUUAUGUGACCUUGUGCUGGAAAUGGGAUACACACAACAUGAGAGAGAUUCUUUGUUAUGUCUAAAGAACCCAUUUUGUUACCUCUUAAUUAAUUUCUUUUUUCCAAGCACCAGGUGAAAGAAGAAAGAAAUAUGGUAAAGUGCUUGCAAAUUAUGUGAGUUUGUCUUCCCCAUUGCGCUGGAUAUUUUAUAGGUGAAAUUAAAUGGGACAUUCACGACGGUGCCAACUUUUAAAAAUAUAUAAUAAUAGCAAGUGGAUGGUGGGUUGAUAUAUAUAUAUCGACACGAGGGGUUUGACAAUCUGUAAAUAUAAUAAUUAAAUCGUCAUGCUAACAGUGUCUGGAACAUUAGUUAGAAAGUAAAAUAUAAAUUAUUUUUUAUUAUUAAAAGCAAUAAUUUUUUUAACUUUUAUAAAGUUGCACUUUUCAUUUUUCACCACUUUUCAAUACAAAAUUUUUAUUUUAGUUUCUUUAACUAGUAUCUCGAGAGUACUAAUUAGUUUCUUUGUUAUUAGUUUUUUGAGGAGGGUUAAGUUAAGAUCGAAAAUAAUAAUUAAAUAAAAAAAUUAAUAAAAAAGCUCAAAUGAUUAAUGAGCUUCAUCAAACAACAAAUUGUUAAGAAAAAUUCAAAUUUAAUUUGUAGAUAAGACAAUAUUUAUCAUAUUUUACUUAUCUUUAUACUAAACUCAAGAUUGCCAAAACUUUUUUCAAUUAAGAAUAUAAAUGUUAACACCAAUAAAUAAAUAAAGAUUUUUUUUUGUGGUGGCCGGAGUUCAAAUUCUAGAUCUUGCAUAUAUUAUACAUUCUUCAUACCAACUGAGUUAACCUCACGAAUACAAUAAAAGAUUUUUUUAUGAGUGCCUUUGGAGUUUACUUUAACAUUUUAAAUUAAAAAGUUAUUUAAAAAACUCAAAUAUUUAAAUUUUAAAUAUAUUAAUACACAAAUGUUUAUUAAAGUUUACCGCUUAAGAUUUUUGAAAUGUCUGGUAGCAUUUCUCAUAAAUUAAAUAGAAGCAAAAUUCAAGAGCGAUCGUUAAAACAGAACGGCGGAAGAAGCAUAAAUUGAGUUGAGUUUCUACUCAUUUUUUUAUUGUAUUUUGUGGUUCUUCCACACCUACAAAGAGCUCUUACCAUUGACUCAAUAUUUGCAGGCAUAUUUUUUUAGUGCAAUUAAUACCACUUCCUUUCCUUCCACACCUAAUAAAGAGCUUACACAUGUUCAUAACACCUACAAGAUGUGCUACCUUUACCAGUUUAACUUUAUUGCUCAUUCCUACGUAUAUCCCUAUAAAUUUUACUUCUUUUUCUUCCAAAUUAAAUGAUAUUCUCUUCAAUCAUAUUUAUAAAAAAUGUUUGUGUUAGCAAAAAUUGAUGUUUCUCGUUCAAAAUUUAAAUUAGAUAUAUUUACUUAUAUUAAUGUAAAUUUCUCUUAUAAAUAAAAUCGGAGGAGAUAUACUAGAUCAUUUUACACUAUUAAGAAAACUAUGUAAAUGAAAGAGAGAAUAUUGUUUUAUUAGUGUCAUUAUCAUGAACUCCCCCCAUUCUAAAUUAUAAAUCGCUUUGAGGAAAAUUCUUGUUCAAAAUUAUAAAUUGUUUUACAAUACUAAUGAAACAACUAAUGUUUUUUUUUUUAUUAUAUCAUUGAUUAUUUAUUAUUUUAUCUUUUUUAAUUUAUCUUUGUGAUGCCAUUUAUUAAGAACAGAUAUAUAAAACAACUUAUAAUAUUACUUUUCAAUAUAAAAUUAAUUACAUUUUUAAUAUGUGUGAAAUGCUCAAAAUAUCUUGUAAUUUGAGACGGAUGAAGUUUUGAGUUAUUUAUUGAUAUCAUAAAUGCAAAAUAAAAUAUGUUGAAUUGAAAAUGGUGAAAGGUAUAUUAAUUAAAGGAUAGAAUUAAAAAAGAAAUUAGUGUUAUAUUAAAAAUUAAAAAGAUCGAUUAUUAUCGGACAAGUUUUACUUGCGAAAAAACAGUGGGAGUAUUUAUUUUUUUUUCUUUCUCUAUUACGAGAAUGACCAAUUUAAAAUUCUUAACACUUUUUAGAUUUUCAAAGGGGAACAUCUUUUAUCUAGUUGCAAAUUAUGCGAGUUUGUCUUACUCACUGCACCAAGAUCUUUGAUAGGUGAAAUGAGAUAUUGACGAUGCCAAUUUUAUAAAAGAAUAAAUAUUAGGAAAAUGUUCUUUUUUUUGUUGCUAAUAUUAAAAAAAAAAAGUUUUAUGACGGAUAAUAUCCUUUCUACUGCUGAUGAUUGUUUUCUCUUCUUUAGAGCGGAAGAGGACCCGACACAAAUAAUGAAGGACAUUUUGUUAAAAUAUGAAGUGGCGUCUGGUCAAUCUAUCAGCUUGCCAAAAUCUAAAAUUUUCUAUAGUCGGAAUGUCGAGGAAGCUCGAAAGAAUGCUAUUACGCACAUUUUGGGCGUCCGUGCGGUUCUUGGCACUAGUAAAUAUAUAGGCUUGCCUUCUAUGAUUGGUCGGGAUCGCAAUGCGACAUUUGCAUAUAUUAAGGACAGGGUGUGGCAAAAAAUUAACUCUUGGAGUUAGCAAAUGUUGGUUGAAGGCACGACGAGAGGUUAUGGUAAAGUCUAUGUUGCAAGCUAUUCCUUCGUACGUUAUGUGUAUUUUCCAACUGUCCUCUACUUUAAUUAAUUCCAUUGAAAAAAUGAUGAACUCUUUUUGGUGGGGUCACGGUCGUACUACUUAUCAUGGCAUCCAUUGGCUAAGUUGGGAAAAACUAUCGGUGCAUAAGACUCAAGGAGGUAUGGGUUUCAAAGACCUUUCGGCUUUCAAUUUGGCUAUGUUGGGUAAGCAAGGUUGGAAAUUCCAGACAGAUCCUGAUUCUCUUGUGUCUCAUAUUUUUAAGGCGCGUUACUUUUCAAACAAAUCAUAUUUUACGGCUAAUAUCGGUCAUAAUCCGAGUUAUAUGUGGCGCAGCAUCCUACGAGCUCGGUUCAUAGUCCAAGGAGGAGCUCGUUUGGAGCAUUGGUCAAGGUAACUGUAUUCCCAUUUUAGAUGAGCAGUGGCUGCUCAAUGUGGAAUCUAUUCCAAGUAAUAUUUAAGGAGCCAAUUAUGCGAGUCAUGUCUCGAUAAAUAGUCUUAUAGAUCCUUACUUUAAACGUUGGAACGAACAUGUUGUUUGACAAGUCUUUAGCGAGGAUUUAGCUUCUAAAAUUCUCAACACAUAUCUAUUUGAACAGGUUCAACAUGAUACGUUACUUUGGAAUGCUAAGAAGAAUGGGCGUUAUUCAGUGCGUAGUGUAACACCCCGUUUUCCCAAUAUGAAAAUUUCUAAACAUUUAUCAGAGUAAACAUCAUAAACAGGAUAUCACAUUCAAACAUAAUCCAAAAAUCAGUUAAAUAACAAUUUAAAUUUCAACAAAAUAUCUUAAGCAUUGCAGCGGAAAUUAAUUCAAAAUUCAUAAAUUGUUUUGGCACGUAGGCCCCAGCAAAAUAUCUCAAAUGAGUUAAUCAAUAUCAUAAAAUAACAUAAUUAUUCACGUAAGAGAAUGAAGCAUGCAUAUCAUAAAACCUCAUCCCGUUACGUAUCAGAGCGACCUAGACGACACAGUGAGGCAAGGUCACUCACGACAGCAAUCUGCACACUAAGCUCGAUCACCUGCAAGUUACUCAUACGAAGAGCAACAUUUUCAAGCAGAAGGGGUGAGAUUUCAUAACACAAUAAUAUUAAUCAAUAUAAUUCAAAAUCAUAGUUAACAACAUAAUCAAUCUUAAGCAUCAUUGCAUCUUCAAUAAACAAUUAUCAAGUAAUCACAUCAUUUCAAUCAUCAUCAAUAACAAAACAUCUUUUGACUCGACAAAUGCGACAAUGCAAAUCUAAACCUCUUUAUGCAUGUGGUACCAAUCAGGGUAUGAGCCCCCAACAAUCAUAGUAUUAAUAUACUAUUAAGGCAUCGUGGUGAGGACAAAGCUCAAUUCGUGGUGAGGACAAAGCUCCAGGGCAUGAGCCCCCAACAAGUAUGAUAAUGCAUGGACUCAAUCAAUCUAAAACAAUCUUAAUCAACAACUCAAUAUGCAUCCAAUAAUUUGGAGCUCAACAACAUCUUAUUCAUCAUGUAUAGACUCAUGCAACUUAGUUAAAUAACAACAGCAGCAUAAUCAGAUCACAACAUCAUCAUAAUUUCAUAGUAACAAUUCAUUUCAAUAACAUCAAGGUUUAUUCAAGAAUAAUUCAAGUAAUGCAUUUGAUCGUUAAAUCACAUUACAAACAACUUAGUUCUUAACAACUUCACAAGUCUCAGUUAACAUCUUAAAUAGGUUUCAUUACUACCUAAUGUCCAUUCCUAAUCAAUCCAAACAACUCAGGUCACGAAAUUAUCAAAAGCACUCAGUUCUGGAAGUGCUCGCGAGGCGAGAGCGUCUGCUCGCCAUGGCGAGUACUUGCCAGAUUUCCAACUAAGGUUGUUCCAGGUUCAUUCUUGUUCUAAAUCAUCCUCUAAUCUUUAGUAGACAUCUAAAGGUACUCAAAAGCAUCUAAGGUUCAACUCAAAAGUCCAAAAUAUGAAAAUCAACAUACUCUCUGGUCAUGCUCGCUAUGGCGAGUAGGCUUGCUCGUUGUGGCGAGCUACGACAUGUAACUCGCGAGGCGAGGGGUUUUGGCUCGCGUGGCGAGCGAUGAACUUCAUCACUCGCGAGGCGAGGAUCAUCGUUCGCCAGGGCGAGCGAUGAAUGUUGGCUCGGGCAGAAUUGCAGUUUUUACAAAAAAUCCAUCAAAUCUCUUGGUUUAAAGCCUAAUUCUGAUUCCUGAAUUCAUUCUAAUCAUAAUCUAAGGUCAAGGGACGUUUUCUACAACAAUCUAACAGUUAAACAUCAUCGGAUCGUCAAUUUCUCCUAUUAACCCUAAUUUCAAAACUUUUCUAAUUCAAUCCUAACUUUGUUAAUUGAUCAUCAGAAUCAUACUAAUUAACAUUACUGAAUCAUUAGUCUCACACUUACCUUGUUUUGCAGAAAUCGCAGCUUUCCCUAGGUGAUUCUCUCUUCUCUUGACUUUUCCUCCUUUUCUCCGAAAACAGUCGUACGUACUAAUUUUUCUACAACCUAGGUCUUUCCUUUUUAUAUCUCUUCCUAAUAUCUUAUCUUAUCUCACUUCCUCCCCCAAAACUCUCUAAAAUCUCAAAACAGCCAUCAACUAAAUAUUUUAUUUUAUUUUCAAAUCUUAUUUGAUUUAACAAUAAAAUAAGUCUCAUAAUCUCAUCAAAUCAUCAAAACACAUCAAAAUCAUCCAAAUCAUCUAAAUCGUCUUAAAUCAACAAAAUUCACACAUAUAUUAUAUAAAUAUAAUAUAAUCGUCUAAACUCGAUUAAAUAAUUAAUUAAACGAAAGUGGGUGUUACAACUCUCCCCAACUUAAAAGAUAUUCGUCCUCGAAAAUUUAUCUCAAGCAAACAACUCUGGAUAAGACUCCAGCAUCUUACUCUCAAGCUCCCACGUCAAGCUUUCACCAGUCGCUCUAGCCCAAACGACUCUAACAAGGGGUAUUUCCUUGCCUCUCAACGUCUAAUAUUUUCUUAUAAUUAUUGAAGAGAUUGAAAGUGUCAAGGUAAGACGAAUAAAUUUAUCGAUUCAUGGAUAAUUUCUAACUAUUUUAGUUUUUUUUUUUUGGUAAAUAAAUUUGUUUAAGCUGACUAAAAAUAUAAUAUUAUGGUAGCUUAAAAUAAAAUGUACUCAAAUCAUUUAAUAUAAAUAUUAUUUUUGGGAUAGCCAUCCUCGUAAGAGGUUGCGCCCCUGAUAUUAACCCUUGCAAGUGGAAGGUGGAUUGAGAUAUAUCGACAUGAGGAGUUUGUCAUUAUAUAUAUGUUUAUUAUAUUAUAUAAAUAUAAUAAUUACUUUCUUCAUUUAUUCAAAAAUAAUUACUUUCUUCAUUUUUAGUUGUCACUUUAAAUUUACCUACAUAUGUGUUAUAUAUAAAAGAAAUAUAAGGUUUUAGACUGACUUUUUUACUUUUAAUUAUACCUUAAAUAAAUUUGAAUACAAAAGUGUUAUAUUUUGUUUUCAUUCAAAAAGAUUAUAAUUUGUAUUAUAUUUCCUAUAUUUUAGAUUAUAAUUUGUAUUAUAUUUCCUAUAUUUUGGUGUGAUUGAAAAAGAUAUAUAUAGUUUGUUUUUUGUCAAAAAAAAGUAUAGUUUGUAAUGAUUUGAAAGUGCAAAAUAUAGUAAUUUAUACGUGUUAACGCAUUUAAAAAACAGACAAACAGGCACGAAGUUCUUAUCUGAACGCUAGUAUUAAAAAAAUUAAGAAAAAAUUACUUUGAUAGAACUUUUUUUUGUAAUACUAUAAUUUCAUUUAUUAAAUUGGUUCAAUUCUCAAUCGUUGCAGCGAAAAUUGUGAUCAAUUGAUCCACAUGGUCAAAUAAUAAUACUAACCAUUAUAGAUUGGAUUUCGUCCUAAUAUAAUGCAACCCGAUAAUCUAUAAUUCACAUCGUGUCAGAGUUAACGUGGAAUCUUCUGUAUGCGUCGCCGUGUAUAAGCGUAGCAUCGAUGAUCAUAGUCGUCAAUGUGAUCUCUAAUCUACUCCAAUGUUUUUUCCAGACUUCACGGAGAUAAAUAUGUUUAAGCACCCUUAUAUAAAUAUAAUUGUGUGCAAUUCCAAUCACACGAAUAUAAUUCACAACUUUUCACCAACUUUUUUAGAGAGUAUUCUCUACAUUUUUCUUGUAAUAUCCUUGUACUCUCCACACUUUUUUAGAUUUUCGAAAAGGAACGUUUGAUACGAAUCUAGUUUUUUUUUUUAUAUGAAUCUAGUUGAAAUGAAGACCUUACAAUUUUGAUUAAAUUUUAAUAAAAUAUUAUAUUUUUUAAAGAGAAUAAAAUAUUAUAUUUGUCUCUACUUUUUAUUAUAAUGAAAUUUAUUUUUCAUUUUAAAGGGUAAGGAUUCACUAUGGACAAUCUUUUGGAGAUUGGCUUGUUCUAAGGAGGCUACAAGUGAGGCGAUUGUCUUACACUUUUGUUAGACCUCAUGUUUCUUAGAGUAAUGAUAUUUGUAUAUCUAAUUGAAGACAAUUUUGGUGACAACCAUACUUUUUUCUCUUUUUAUUGGUCAAAAAUAAUGAAGGGAAAAAAAAAGAAAAAAGAGGAUAAAAAUGUCAUGUGAGUAUGAGAGAGAAAAUUAUUCAAAAGUUGUCACAAAAUGGUUGUACAAAUAUUAUUACUCUAUUUCUUAUUUUAACUACUAAUCAGACGGACAAUCCGUGUCUAUUAUCUGUUGUUUUUAUUGCGUUAACAUAAAGACACGUGUUGACAAGACACCUAAAACAAGAAUUUAGUUUUUCAUUAAGAGAAAUGAUAUUUGUACAACCAUUUGACUACAACUUUUUUAUAACUUUCUCUCUCAUACUCACAUGAUGUUAUUAUCUUCUCUCUUCCUUUUUCUCUUUUCAUUGUUUUUAAUCGAUCAAAAGAGAGGAAAACAAAAUUGUGACCAAAGUUAUCAUUAAAUAGAUGUACAAAUAUCAUUGCUCAUUCACUAAAUAUCAGAAAGUGGGUACUCCAAUUUUUUUUCUCUUUCUCUUUUAGAAAAGAGUCAAUUUGAACAUCAUCACGCUGAAUGAAAACCAAAACAAAUUUGAGAUAAGAUGUGUUGACUAUGGACAAGGAUUCUCUCAUCUUUCUAGUGGGCUUUUCACCUGAGACUGUCCAAUGAAAUAAUGGCUGCAUGUGGAAGUGGUGAAAUAAUGGCUGUGAUUUCACAUUGACAAGAGGGUUAUUGUUUGUUACUCACUAAUUUACGUGCCAAAAUGACCGUCCAUCAUAAAUUAUAUAAUAAUUUGUUUUGACAUUGUGUAUUAGUAAUUAUUUUAUUUAGAUAGGAUGUUCAGUAGAAUCCCGUCUGGUAAGACUGAAUUUUAAUAUUUUUGAUAAAUUUUAAUCCUCCGAUCAGUCAAACAUUCAACGUGAUUUCCAUCAGAGCUAGGGCACGACAACAGCACAAAAAGAUAAACGUUAGAUACAACGAACCAGGAUUCUCAUAAAAAAAUAAUAUACAAUGAGGAUUUGAUUGGAUAAUAUGUAGCUGUCUGCAGUUGGAAAGAAGUGCAAAUAACAUGUAGAACUGUUUAUGACUUUCAAAAAGAAAAAAUGUAGAACUGUUAUGAAUAUUCUUGAUUCGAUAAGAUUUUGUUUUUCUUUUUUUCAGAGGUUGAUUUGAUAAGAUUCUACUGCUAUAAAUAUUACUAGUACCAAGUACCAUAUUUUUUUUUAAAGGAAAUGUUAACCGGUGUCUCUAAGACAUUAGUAAAGACCAUAAAAAAUACUAACUUUUUAUGAAAGUUUGUGUAAUCGAUGUAUUGAAAAUUAAAAACUUUUACAUUUUUAAAGAAUACUUACUUAAUUUAACAUGAAGAGUGCCUCGGAAGCACCCGUUAACAAGAAUUUUUUUAAUAUAAAUUCUAUCAUAUGGCUCGCGUUCACGUGACAUGAAAACUGGAGAGAUAUAAUUUUAAACUGUAGUGAGAAUAUUUUAUUUAGGAGAAAUGAUAUUUAUACAAUUAUUUUUUAAUAAUUUUUGUGACAACUUUCUCUCUCAUAUUCACAUUAUAUUUUUACUUUCUCUCUAUUGUUUUGAUUUUUGUAUCAACAAUACUUUUCUUUGUAAAAAUAUGGUUGUCAAUGUAGUUGUCAAUCAAAUUAAUGUUAAAUAAUAUUUGAUAGCAGAAACGCCGUGUACGACUGGUAACAGAAAAUUCAAUUUAUGGGCAAAUAAGUUGUAUUGGAGGUGUGUUAUGAAAUCAACAUCGUGCUAACCUACACGAUAGGGUGGUCCUUUUCCUUUAGUUUAUUUUGGGGGGCAUGCUAGAACAUCUAAUUGGAUUUGAAUGUACUAACUUUUGUUCUCUAUCAUUGCAAAAAUAUAAAAUAAACUUUACGUUCUCUAUCUUUGGGUAAGUUUAGACAAAAGUAGAAGAGACAAUAUGGAAAAAUCUAGAGGGAAAAUAUGAGGGGGAAAACGAGACAUAACAAUAUAACAUAUAGAGAAAGAUCAACGAUUUUCAAUUCCAACGUCUAUUGAGCAUCCGUUACACGGGCAGACUGUAUGUUAUCCCCCGUGAUUUUAUGCUAUGUUUAAAAUAUAAUAACAUUAUGUGAGGGUGUGUGUUCACAUGGGAAAGGUUAAUCCUUUUCUACCAUGGGAAAGUUAGAUUCAAUGAUUAGAUUAAGUGAAGAACAUAUUCUUAACAUGCUCUCUCAACAUUAGAUUUUUCUUCACACUAUCUUCCAACAAUUUAAAAAUUCUGAAAAUUAAUUUUCAGAAAUUAAAAAAAUCGAAAAAAUCAGAUAAUUUUCUUUUAAAUUCAGUAAUUCAUUUAUUGAAUGUUAGAAUUUUUUUUUCGAAAAAUAAAAUUAUUUCAAUAAAAAUAAAAUUUUGGAAACUAAGAUAAAUUUUUAUUUUUCUAAAAAGAAUAUAUUUUUUAAUUUCAUAAUAAAAUAAGAUAUUCUGAAAAAUAAAAUAAAAACCCUAAAAAAAAUAUUUUGAAAUAAAAUUAUGGAAAAUUCUGAACAAUUAUUUUUUCAUUUUUUAAAAAAAAAAAUCUGAACUUUUUUUAUAUUUUUUCGAUUUUUUUAAUUUCUGAAAAUUAAUUUUCAGAAUUUUUAAAUUGUUGGAAGAUAGUGUGAAGAAAAAAUCUAGUGUUGAGAGAGCAUGUUAAGAAUAUGUUCUUCACUUAAUAUAAUCAUUGAAUCUAGUGGUGGGAAAGGAUUAACCUUUCCCAUGUGAAAUGCCACCUUAUGUGAGUAUCAUAGAGAGAUGUCUAAGGGUGCCAUUUAAUUUGGGAAAGCAAACUUCUUUCCCAUCAUGGGAAAGUAAAUCUCAACCAUUAGAUUCAAGAGGAACAUUGAUUUUAUCAUAGUCUUUCUACAUUAUAUUUUUCCCCUUUAUUCUUCUUCAUCCCUCAAUAAAAACUCUCAUUCAUCUUUGUUCAUCUCUUAAACCUAAAAUUCCAAAAAUCAAAAUAAAAAUUCAAAAAUAAAAAAACUCAAAUACACACAAACGAAGAGGAAGGCAAUAGAUACACAAAUUUUCUCUUUUACAAUUUUGCUAGUUUAUUGAGAAUCGAUUUUAAUUUAAAUUCUGUUUGAUCUGGGUUUUUAUUUAUAGGUUUUCCAACAUAUAAUUUUUUUGGUUUUAUUUAUGAGAUUAUGAAGAUGGAAGUUAGAAUUAAGGGAUUGAUGAAGAUUUUGAUGUUGAGGUUGUUGUUGUUGUUUGUAGAAAACAUUGUUGUUAGUGGAAUUGUUGUUGUUGUUGAAAUUGACGGAUAAAGGGGAAAAAAAUAUAAUGUAGAAAGACUAUGAUAAAAUCAAUGUUCCUCUUGAAUCUAAUGGUUGAGAUUUACUUUCCCAUGAUGGGAAAGAAGUUUGCUUUUCCAAAUUAAAUGUCACCAUGUCUAAGAUAAUGAAAGCGGAUGUAUCAUUUUCAAUCAAGGUGAAUAGUGUUAGUGUUGGUCGAAAAUAUACAUAUUGAAUAAGUCUCACAUUUCGUAAAAUUAUAAAGGGAGAGGUAAACCAAGACUAUAUAUAUAUAUAUAUAUAUAUAUAUAUAUAUAUAUAUAUAUAUAUAUAUAUAUAUAACUUCUAUUUUUUCAUUACAAGAUGCAUCAGUCGGAAACAUUUUAAUUUUGUAUAAACCAAAUCAAACCGCUUCAGCACAAAGUGUACUGAAAAGAAGCCUGAAAAAGUAGCAUAAACAUCACAUAAAAAAUGUAGAAAAAAGAUCAAACUAAACUAGCUUGGUAAGUGCACUUAAACAGUAAAUAAGGUUAUGCCUCCGUAGUUGGUACUCAAAAUCAAAUAAAACAUAUUUUCGACUUAAACCACCAAUAAGUCUGAAGCUUCACCCUUUCACAAAGAGCCCGCAGAAUUUCCUCCUUCCGCUAGAAAAUACGUCUAUAACGUUCCUUCAGAUGAUCCAAGCAACAGAAAGUCAAAUAUAAUACCAAAUUAGAGAAACCUGAUAUAUAUAUGCCCAAACAUCCUGCCACUAUAAGCUAAGCACUAGAGAAACCUGGCAAACUAGAAAUAUAAUACCAAAUUCUGCCAAAAAAUCACACUUAACAAAAAGAUGAUCAACAUCCUCUUGCUCAUCAUAAUUUGUCGUGCAGCCCUGGUCAUUAGCCGCUAUGAUGCGCAUAAGAAAUAAAUUAUCCUUCGUUAGCACUCUAUUACAAAAAAGCCUCCAAACAAAAAUUGAAACCUUAAGAAGAAUAACCUUUAGCCAAACAAAUUUGUGAUGAAUGCUAUAUAUAAUUAGAAUUUUGAACACUACAGUUACAGGAGUUGGUCAUGGGAAUUUAUAUAAAAACAAUGUGCAACUGUUCUGCACAAUCACAUAAUGAUUAUUCCUAAAACAUAGACAAGUUUCCUUUGUUUGUUGAGCUAAAGAUUCUGGUUAGUUGACUGAUUUGAAUGCUCCAAUUACAACUCUUUAAUCUUCCAACGGCUCUCCAUGUAAUGUGUCAUUAAUAUGAGAUUUCUCUUUGCUACGGUCUUCUGUUUCUUUUUCUGUCCAACAUAUAUCAUUAUUAUUGUCUAAAAUCAUGCGGUUUGGGUUAGAUUGGUUGAUGCAGUUUUUUUAGACAAUAUAAUUUUUUUUGUUUAAAAUCAAGUUAAAAAGCUAUAACACAACAUAUUUUCAGCAAUGUUUAUGACAAUAUUUUAUGAAUAAAAAAUAAUUCUAUUAUGUAAGAAAUGUUAAACAUUAAGAUUUUAUCAUUCUAUAAACUUUGAAGUAGUAUAUAAAUAUAUUUUUGAAAUAAAAAAUAAAGAAGAAACUUAACAAGAGAAAAAAUAUAUCAAUUUUUAAAAGUUUCUAUGAGUAUUGAGUUAUGUGACAUAGGUUCAAUUAACAUUUUUCUUAUGUUGUGUUUUGGUUCGAUUGUUAAAUAAAAACUGCAAACUGAACCAAACCAUGCGGUUGAGUAAAAAAGUGAUCUAAAUACAUCCAAAUUAAAUGUAGUUUUUUGCGGUUUCGAUUUGAGUUGGUUCGAUUUACGGUUUUUUUAUUGGACUGGUUCGGUUUUGAACACCCUUAGCGUUGAGAGCCAUAUAAUUUUCAUAGUCAAAUGAACCUAUUUUGAAGAUCCACCUAAACCACCAAAAUGCUCGAGUUGGUUCAACAAAUUACCCCAAGUUACUGUGACAAAUUCUAACAAGUCUAAACUAAAGACCAGAUUCUUCCAUGAAAGUAAAAUCUGAAAAACAAAUUAUCCAUGUCAUCAUUCAUACCACACUCACCAAUACAUAUUUGAUUGUUGUUAGAAAGAACCCUCUCCUUACCAAAUUGUCCUUAGUAGGAAUGCAAUUGAGGAUCAAAUGCCACACAAAAAGAGUUAAUUUAAGCGGAAGUAAAUCCUAAGAAUGCGAGUGUUGUCUGAUAUAUCAAUGGUGUUCACUGCUGUCAAAUAGUUAUAAGCACUACUCACCAAAUAGCAAUUGGAAGAAUCUAACUUCCAUACCCACCAAUCCUCCAUAUCCACUGCAAAACAAUAAGUGUCAACAAUUGAUUACAUUCCCUCACCUGCUCUUCCUCCUAAGUUAACAGCAUCCUUGAUUACAUUUCCACUAGUGUCGUUAGUAUGUUAUCAGCCAACUCAUAUAACCUUCCGAACCUAACACUAAAAGGUACUCCGUCCAACCAAUGAUCCCUCCAAAACAUAGUAGAAGACCCAUCACCCACCUCGCGCCCUAUAUUAUCCUCCAACCAACUUCCCACCCGCAAACCUACACCCUCACACACCCUAUUAAAAUUCUACCACCAAACAGAUCGUAUGUCUCCUCCGUAACGAGCAGCUAGGACCCCAACCAAUAUACUUUUAUGAAAAUUUACUUUUAAAUCAUAUAUCACCUCAAAAAGAAUAAGGACGACUUUCCACGCUUUAACAUCAGCCCAACUUUUCGUUCCCACCAACAAGGUGUCAUCCGUAACUAUAAAUGAGUAAUAGGUAUAACAUCAUUUGUCCCACCACUAAAUUCGGUAAACAAUCUUGCAUCCACCGUAGCAUUGAUCAUGGCAUUUAAACCUUCUUCCGCUAUCAAAAAAAGAAAAGGAGAUAGAAGAUCACCCUGACGCAAGCCUCUUGCAGAAUUAAACUCUUUAGUCGGGCAACCAUUCACAAGAACUGACGUUUCUGCCAUAGUUACACAUUCUAAAAUCCACUUACAACCACAAAGUUGCAAAAUUCAUCUUAAUCAUAAACUCUUUCAAAUACUUCUAAAGCCCCGAUACUUCAAAAUAGAUGACGUAUCGUAUCCCCUGCGUAUUCUGCACCGAUACCUGUCUGAUACUUCCCGAUACGUAUCAAGAGAGUAUCCGAAGAUUAAAUUUUAUUUUUUUUAAAAAUAAUUAUCCGAUACUUCCCGAUACGUAUCAGGAUAGUAUGCGAUAAUUAUCCUGCAUUGAUAUCUGCUCCGAUACUUCCCAAUUAAUGUUAACUAAAAUAACUUAAGUUUUGAGUACUGAUGUGUUAUUUUUUUGGAUAUAGUGCUUCUUUUUUGGAUCGAUAGAGUAUAACACUAACAAUGUUCCUUUUGGAUAUAGUAUAACAUUGAUGGUGCUCUUUUUGGGAUAUAUUGUGUAUGUAAUUGACUAAUCAUCACUCUCUUAAUCGUCAAUAUUAUUUAUAUUUAUGUUGAUGUGGUACGAGCCUAUGACUGGUUUAUUUUGUUUGUUAAUAUAUUUGCAUAUUAAAUUCAUUUAUACACAAAAUAUAAUUAUAUUUAAACUAUGCUCAUUAACAAUCCUCAUGAGAAUUUAAAAUUUUGAAAAGAUUUUUUUCCUCUGCUAGGGUUUCCAAUUUCUCCAUACUUGCAUCGCAGUCUUGCCAUGGCCUUUGAUUGGCAGGCUGAGCUGAGCGCCUCCCCUGGAAGGAUCACAGUGAAUCAUGAUUCUCCAGCCUUAACAAUCCUCCCUCCUCCCAAACUGGUACAGAGAAUCUCUUUCGCACAAGCUCUAUCUGCCUCCGCAACAACAUCCGCUAGCAAUGACAACCUACCGCAGCCGCUAAUUCGUGGUGAUAACGUAAGCGUUCACAUAUCUCAGUCCGUUUAUGAGAAGGGUAUGGCCUUUUGUAAACGUAAUCUCCGUGGUCGCCUAGUUCUAAAUAAGGGCGAUAAACCCUACACCACCAAGGACAUAUAUUCCAAACUUCAGAAUCAAUGGAAUACUAAUGGGGCUUGGUCCAUGACGUCCUUGGGAAGGGGAUUCUAUGAAUUCUUUUUCUCUACUGAAGCAGAUUUGCGCUUGGCAUGGGCGAUGGGAACGAUCAAUUUGAAGCCGGGUGUUCUUCGCUUGUUUGAAUGGAAAAAAGAUUUUAAUCUGCACACACAACGUAAUACUCAUGCUCAAGUGUGGAUCCGACUCUUAGAGCUUCCUCAGGAGUAUUGGAUGGAUAGGACGCUACGUGAAAUUGCUUGUGCAGUGGGCACCCCACUUAUUAUUGAUAACGCUACUACCAAACGUCUUUACGGCCAUUAUGCCCGCAUUCUUGUUGAUAUGGACUUCUCAAGAAAAAUGUUCCAUGAGAUCACUGUUGAGAGAGAAGGUUAUGCAUUCAAUGUUGAGGUGGCGUAUGAAUGGCUGCCUGAUUUUUGUACCCACUGCCAGAACAUAGGACAUGACGUUUCCGCGUGCCGCUGGCUAUAUCCCCGUAAGGAAAGCAAUGCCCAUAAGGAGAAUAUUGCAUUGGGCAAAAAACCGGUUCCUUCUAUCAAAAAAACAUGGGUCCCUACAAAAGAAAAUCCCACUGGGAUUGGCUCUUCUCUGGCCUUUGCUGAACCGCAUGAGUCAGUUCCGCCGACGCCCUCUAGAGGACAGCAACAACAGAUAUCACAACAGGAACCUUCGGCCGUGCCCACACCUUAGGAAAUAUUGCCGUUAGUUGUGACAGAUGCUCAACCCGCGCUGGACAUUACUGCCAUUCCGGCUGUUGAGCUUGCACUUGAGCAACAUGAUAUUGAUGCUACAAUUCCAUUGGUAACAGACACGGAUCAGCAAGAAGAGGUAUCAUGCCAGCAGCCUCAUCCAGAUGUUACAGUUCAGCAAGAUAGUAAUCAGACUUCCUAUAGCAUUCCGCUUGUCAAUAUGUUUGAUAUUGUGGCUAGGAAUGACCUUACGUAUCAUGAGCCAGUUUUAUCUCCCGUGCGAGAGUUAGAUGUCAGUACAAUAGCAGCUAAUCCGGCCACGACGGUGCAUCCCACAUUGAGGCAAGAAAUGGAUUUUAUGCAAUCAUGGUUGGACAAGGCAGCGGUCAAUGAGGAAGUUCCUUUUUCACCAGUGGUUACUAAAUCUCAGAAAAAGAAAUUGGCCAGGCUUCACAAGGCUGCCGACAAGGCUGCUGGUUAUCAAACCCGUUCACAGGGUCCCCUCCCGACAUCUCAAUGAAGGUUCUUUUCUGGAACAUUCGGGGUAUUGGUAACAAUGACUCACGUGUAGCUCUUAACGAUAUGUACCAUGCUAAUAAUCCUACUUUGAUUUUUAUUGCUGAACCUAUGGUAGCUUAUGAUUCUAUUCCUAGUCGGUUUUGGAACACUAUUCAGAUGACAAAUUAUUGUGUAAACGUAAGGGAGCCGCUCAUUCCUAAUCUUUGGGCGGUGUGGGGUUCGGAGAUCACGUUUACUGUUGUCUUUGCAUCCUCUCAAUGUUUGGUCCUUCAACAUGUCUGCAACGGGACUACUAUUUAUAUUGCAGGAGUUUAUGCUAGCACAUCUUAUCUUUUGCGCCGCCAACUUUGGGCUGAUCUAACAAUGCUCCAGAAUAAUUACGUCGCUCCGUGGAUUUUUGUGGGGGAUUUUAAUGCCGUCUUGGGUGCUCAUGAGAAAAGGGGACGUCGUCUCCCUCCCUCUAUUUCUUGUACGGAUUUUCUUGCUUGGUCCAAUGCCAAUUUAUUAUUACAUCUGAAUACAAAUGGGGUACAAUUUACUUGGAACAAUGGCAGGUUAGAUUCCGACUCUGUCUUUCUUCGGCUUGACAGGGUUAUUUGUAACCAAGCCUGGACAGAUUUUUGGGGAGGUACCUCGUGCACAGCUCUCUUAAGGACUAAAUCCGAUCAUCACCCUCUAUUGGUGCGCAUUGAUCUCUCAGGAGUGCGUAGCACUGCUUCUUUCAAAUUUUUCAAGACUUGGGUAAAUCAUGAUGAGUGUCGUCCGCUUGUUUUGAAAAUUUGGCAGCAACCAAUUAUUGGCUCAGGCAUGCAUCGUUUACAAAUUAAGUUACGCAAAAUUAAGGACGCUUUCCGAGUGUGGAACAAGUCCAUUUUUGGAGAUGUUCAACGUCAAGUCAAGUUGGCAUUUGAUGAGGUGAUGCGCAUUCAGAAUUUGAUUGAUGUCGCUGGUUUGGAUUCUGAUCUCCAUACGUUAGAAUUACAUGCACAAUUGUCUUUGACAAAAGCCAUGAACAAUCAAGAUCAAUUCUGGCGUGAAAAGGCUAGACAACAGAGUUUUAUUUAUGGGGACCGCAACACUGCUUAUUUUCACAGAUUGGCUCGCAUCAAAUCGUGCUCCAAACCUAUCACUUUUCUUCAGAUUGGUAAUGUCCGGAUUACUGAUCCUAGACAAAUGGAAGAACAUGUGGUGGAUUAUUUUCAAAAUAUUUUUGGAGGUAUUAAUAUAUGUGCUACUACUGAUUUGGUGGCUAGAGUAAUUCCGACGUUGGUUUCGAUGCGGGAAAAUAGUGCUUUGACUACGGUGCCUGUUUUUGAUGAGAUUAAAAAUGCGGUGUUUGAUAUGAACGCGGAUGGAGCUCCUGGUCCUGAUGGCUUCGGGGGACAUUUCUAUCAAUAUUUUUGGGACAUUGUGGCGGUCGAUGUAGUGAGUUCGUUACAAGAUUUCUUUUACACAGGGGCGCUGAUUCCAAAUAUUAAUGCCAACAUUCUGGUGCUGAUUCCUAAAGUCCCUGGGGCUGCUUCCAUGGGGGAUUUCCGCCCAAUUGCAUUGGCCAAUUUUCAAUUUAAAAUUAUUACUAAGAUUUUGGCUGACAGACUGGCUAUUAUUUGCAUGAGAAUAAUUUCCCCUCAACAGCGAGGCUUUGUUCGUGACCGUAACAUUUCAGAAUGUGUCAUUAUAGCCUCUGAAGUUGUCAACCGGUUAGACAAGAAACAAUUUGGUGGGAAUAUUGCCAUCAAGGUUGAUAUUCGCAAGGCUUUUGAUACUCUUGACUGGAAUUUUUUAGUAGCAGUUUUGAAGCAGUUUGGGUUCUGUGAUUUAUUCUGUGACUGGAUUCUAGCCAUUUUGCAUUCAGCUCAUCUCUCUAUUCUGUUGAAUGGCAACGCGGUGGGAUACUUCCCUUGUACCCGGGGAGUUCGACAAGGUGACCCUCUCUCCCCCCUUCUCUUUUGUCUAGCGGAGGAGGUUCUCAGUCGCGCGCUUGAGAAUGAGAGGGUCUCCAAUUCUUUACAGCCUAUGUCCUAUUGUAGAGGAGUCUCCCUUCCUACGCACAUCUUAUAUGCCGAUGACGUUUUUAUUUGUUGUGUUGGCUCCAAGAAAAAUAUUAGAUGUCUGCUUCGAAUUUUUAAUGAGUAUUCGGACACAUCCGGACAGUUGGUUAACUUUGACAAGAGCAAAUUAUAUACGGGCGCGAUGACAGGUUCUCGUCGGAAUAUGGUUGCGCAUCUUUCUGGUUUUGCGGUGGGUACUAUUCCUUUCCAAUACUUAGGCUGCCCCAUCUUUCAAGGUAAGCCUAAACGUAUUCAUUUUCAAUCUAUCGUGGAUCGUAUUAAGGUUAAGUUGGCCACUUGGAAGGGUGUUAUGUUAUCAAUCAUGGGGCGUGUCCAAUUGGUCAAGUCUAUAGUACACGGCAUGCUGGUGUAUUCUUUUCAUAUCUACCGUUGGCCUAUUCGGUUAUUGAAGACGUUGGAUCGUUGGAUCAAAAAUUUUAUUUGGAGUGGUGAUAUUUACAGUCGAAAAAUAUGCACGGUUUCUUGGCAGCAGGUUUGUCUACCAUGGGAAAACGGUGGUCUUGAUCUCAAAUCCACCCGCUCUAUAAAUUCUUCCUUGUUAUUGCACCUUAGCUGGACCAUCUUCACUCAAGACUCUGAAUGUGCCCGCAUGUUUCAGCAGCGUUUCCUCGCUUAUGGCCUGCCUCGCAACAGUUAUUUUAAAUCUUCCAUUUGGCCUGGCGUAAGGGAUUUCCUAACCACGGUAAAAGAAAAUUCUGUAUGGAUUGUUGGCAAUGGAAAGAGUAUUAAUCUUUGGUUAGAUAAUUGGCUGGGCACACCUCUUGUCAUGAUGUUAAAUACUCCACCGUGUAUGUUUCCCUCUCUUACCAUGACACUUGAUGCGGUUAUUAUUAAUGGUAAAUGGCAAAUCCCUUCUCCUCUCAUUAAUUAUCCGAAUGUGGCUGUUGCUAUUAUGAAAACUACCUUACCGGUUUCCCCUUUGCCGGAUAAGCAUAUUUGGAAACACGCUUCUGAUGGUAUUCUCACGUCUAAGCUGGCGCACUUGUUCCUGUGUCCUCCUCUUGUUGCUCUUGAUUGGCCGGCUGUUAUUUGGCGCUCUUGCAUCCCCCCAUCGCACUCAUUUGUUUUUUGGCGUUUAAUGCUGUCCAAGCUUCCGACAGAUGAGCAUCUCCGGUCCCGUGGCUGCACCUUAGUGUCUGUUUGUGUUCUCUGUUUUCGGCAUGCAGAAACUUCUUCCCAUCUGUUUCUCCAUUGUGAAUUUGCAAUAAUUAUUUGGCGUUGGCUGGGUGUUAAAUUAGGGUGCACUAUAUCCUUGGCUUCUUAUUCGUCAAUUCUUGAUUGCAUACCGCGGCCUUGCAGUUCCCAAAUUCUUGAUGUGUUUGCUGCUGCUCUCGUUCACACGGUUCACACAAUUUGGUUGGCUAGGAAUGCGAUCCGUUUCAGCUCCGCCAAUGUUUCUAUCCAUGCUUCCAUGGCCAAAAUUUCGUCCCUGAUUGCUUUGUCUGGUGCUAAUUCCAAAGGUAAUUGUUUAGUCACGGAUGGGGCUGUGUUACACAAUUUUAUGAUACCUCCUUCCUACCGGCGUAUUAAAGAGAUUAUACCUGUGAUUUGGAAACCUCCAACCAUUACUUGGGUUAAGGCGAACAUUGAUGGUUCUGUUCUUAAUCUUCAUUCUUCAUGUGGGGGAAUUUUUAGGGACUUCCGUGGUACUUAUUUGGGUAGCUUUGCUUGUAAUAUUGGUCAUGGAAAUGCUUUUGAAGCUGAGCUUGCAGGUCUGAUGUGUGCUAUGGAGUAUGCGGCUUCCAACAACUGGCUUAGAUUGUGGCUUGAGUGCGAUUCUGCCACUGCGGUACAGGCCUUCCACAAUCACUCUCUUAUCCCGCUGCGUUUACGGAACCGUUGGCAUAACUGCAUUCAGCUUGGACUUAUGGUGAUUUGUUCCCACAUUUUUAGAGAGGGUAAUUGUUGUGCGGACAUUCUGGCUUCCUUGGGACAUACGGUGACCUCCAAUACUUGGUUCCGGACUAUGCCGGCUUCUCUUUCGGAACAUUUUGCUAGAGACAGAAAUGGCCUGCCUAACUAUAGAUUUCCGUAGCCAUCUCUUGUCUGGUUGUUAUGCUUUAUUUUAUUUUAUUUCGCCUUGAGGGUUUUGGCCUAGUCCCCCCUCUUUUGUACAUAUUUUCCCCCUUUUUUAUUAAUAUUAUUUAUUAGGUUGGCGGUAGAGGAUGGGCGUACUGUGGGGUGCCAACCUAGUUGGGAUGCCACAGCUAUACCUUGAUGCCUAACCUUCCUAUUGGCCUAUCAAAAAAAAUUAAUUUCAUUAUCAACUUGUAUUUGGAGGAAGUAUUUUGAGGUCCAGACACUUACCCAGAGAGAAACAAUUAAGUCAAAAUCAUACAAAUUGCGCAAGAGGAUGCAAAAUUGGUGAAAUACAUUGUUCUCGUGCUUUAAUUAUUUAAAUGAGAAGUGAUAACUAUACAGACCACAAAACGUGAUAAUCACAACUUUGAGUUAAGUACUCAUUUUGGACUCAUUUACAGAAAAUAUUUAGACUCUGUUUGAUAAAAAUAACGGAUAACUGAUAAGUUAGCUUAUAGCUUAUAGCUGAUGACUGAUAGCUUAUAGCUUAUAGCUGAUGAUUGAUAGCUUAUAAGCUAACUGAAGUGUUUGGUAAAACUAGCUGUUCAACUAGCAGAUAAAUGUAAAAUGACAUAAAGGGCAUUCUUAAUUUAUAAUAAAAUCAUAUCAAAUAAUAUUUAAGUAUUUGUAAUUUCGUAAUCUAAAUUUUCUUUAAAAAUACUUUAAAAUAAUGAAAGGUAUAAUUUCAUUAAAAUGUAACACAAUUGAUGGUAUAUUUUUUAAAGAAUAAUCAAAGAAUAAAGAAUAUGUCCGUGAGCUUAAAAAACUAAUAAAAAACAUAACACUAAGGUAUAUUUUCAUAAAAAAUAUAAAUAAAUAAAAACUGAAGGUAUAUUGUUGCGUUGGGUCAAUUUUUUGUAAGGCAUAUUGUAUAAAAAAAAUAACAACGAAAGUCAUAGAGUAAAAAAUAACACUAAUAGUAUAUUGUUCCUUAAAAAAAACUAUUAGUAUAUUGUUCUGUAAAAAAAAAAAAUGGUAUAUUGUAUAUAGAGAAUUACAAAGAAAGCUGGUUGGUGUAUUUAUUAACAAGGGCUAGUAAUAUUUUCUAAAAAAAAAAUAGACAGUGGUAUUUAUUAUGGAGCUAUAUUAUAAUAAAUUGUAGUGGGUAAAACUAGAAUUUAGAUGAAAUAAUAAGGGUAAAAGUGGAAGAAAAAGUGAGAAGCUAUAAGCUAUAAGCUCAAACGCUACUUGGAAUAGCCUCUGAAAAAUAGCUUAUAAGCUCAUGAAAUAAGCUAUAAGCUCAUGGUGAAAAAGUGUUACCAAACAGAGCUUUAUUUGUCAAACGAGCUUAUAACCUAUAAGCUAUAAGCUAAUUUAGGUGUCUUACCAAACAGUGCUUAGAGUUUUCUUUGAUUGUAUUUAUCCCAUCCAUUUGAAAAAAGCCGGUAUUUCCGUCUCUAAGUAUAAGACUUAUUUGAGAAAUAUUUUUUGUCUCUUUUUAUAAAACUCUUUGAUAUUUCGAAGUAUAUUAAUUAAUUAUUUAUCAAUAUACCCCUAUUUAUUUUCUAUCUUUUUCUUCAAUCAACAUUAAAUACUAUGUUCAAAACAUACAAUAAUCAUCUCUCUUAAAGCAUAAAAUUAUAAAAACAAUAUUAAUUACAAACAAAUUUAUUGCCUUUUUCAAUUUUCUUAAUUCCUGUAUUUUUUUUAAAAUUAUUUAUCAGACUCUUUUUAACACUUUUUUACUAAUUUAAAUUUGUAUAGGUUCCAUCAAUUUAUAUGAGACCCACAUCAUUCAUAGGAACCUCUGAAUUUUGACCAAUUAAAAAAGUGAUUUAGACAGUGUAGUGCUGACAUAACUUCUUGAUUCUCUUAUCAAGAAUUUUUUUAUAGUGAGGACCAAUGACAUCCCAAAUUUACCUCAUAUCAUUAAAACUCUAUUACAUUUAUUUAUAAAUAAAACGACUAAAUACAGAAAGAUAUAUUGGGGGACUAGGUCAAUGCCCCCCGAAAAUAAAAAAGAGAGUCUAGAGAGCUGCCUAAUAAAAAUCUCAGGGUUAAAUGCACUUUUAUCCCGAUGUCAUUUGAGCGAAUUUCAAUUUCCCUCAUGUUAAAAGAAAUCCAACCUUAUAAUUUAAUAAUUAUUUUGUUUUAGACUUUAAUGACAUCAAAUUUUAAAAUUAAAUGUACUUUCACCCCUGCCAUUUGAAAGAAUUUUGCUUUACCCAAAGCAAUAUGAUCUAUUUUGUAAAGUCGGAUUUCACAAAGGUAUAAAAGAAAAAAUAUAUUUAAAUUACAAGGUUCAAAUAAAAAAUUUUAUUUGCAACUAUGGAGGCUCAAAUGACAGCACUUGUUGGCUACAUUAAAGCGAAGGAAGGUGGUUCACUGCCUCCAGAGUUAGCUGCUGCCUUAUUUCCCAAUGAUACACAAUAGGUAUAACAACUACUCAAUGCAUUUAUGAUUUUGUGCAUGUGUCUUUCUGGAGUAGUACCGGCGCUUCAUUAAGUUUUGGAAGCAUUGAUAUUAUUUGAUGAUAUUUUACAAAAUGGAUCUGAAUGCUAUUGGGCUAAUGAAAUCAAUACUGCUAAUUUAUUUUUUAUCAAUUAAAUGCAUUUCUCUAAGUUUUUCAUCAUCAAUCUUUAUAUUCAUCAAUUAUGAAAAAUUGAUUUUGGAUAAUACUGUCUUUCAAGCUUUUAUUUUGAUAAUAACUUUUACUUUGCUUAGGUUCUUGAAUUGGCAAUAAUAUCUUGCUUAAUAUAUAGGAGUUAACAAUUAUAAUACUUUUUACAGGCAUCAAACGUAGGAAGUGAAUCUCCAACACCCAAUGACAUAACUAGAUCAUCAGAUGAAAGCAACGCAAGUGGAGCAUGAGAGUCCUAAUUUUAGUGACAUCAGUUGUCUAGUCAUUUUUAUGUUUUGAAACUUGUUAUUUUGAGAAUAGCUAAAGAUGGUGGCAAUGGUUUGUGUAACUUUAUGUUUGGAGACUUGUUUAUAUUUGAGACUUAUUUUAGAUAUUUGUAUCAAACUCCACUUGAGUUGAAUUAUAAAUAUAUCAAUGACAAUGUUUAAAAUUUGUUUGUCCUUUAAUUUUGUUCAAAAAAUAGAAAUGUACAAUUAUAUAUUCCUAUGAAAUAAUAAUAUUAUAAGUAAAAUAAUUUCAAUUUUUUUGAGCAUUGUGGCAUUUUAUAUGUCAAAUGUGGCAGCUCAAUGAUUAAAUAUCAGAAGUAAAUUCUGGCAGUUGGACAUGCCACUACAUGCAUAGGUCUCAGGAGUACUUUCUGGCGGUUAAAACCGUCGGUACUUUCUGCAUGUUACGGCGGUCAAAAAUGCCAGAAACACCUAUUGACUUUGUCACAAUUAUGUAAAUAAUGGCGUUUGAAACUGCCACUAUAUACAAUUAAAUAACCGCCACUUUAAGCAAGUAUAAAACGGCGGACAACAUUGCGGCUACGUAAAAACUGCCGCUUUUAACAUUGUGGCAGACAAAAUUUCGGCAGUUUUUAAAACGCCAGAAUUGUGCAUAGUGGCGGCUAAAACCGCCGGAACAUACAUUUUUUAGCCACCGGAAAACACGCGUUUUUUUGUAGUGAAAAAAUAAAAAAAAUUAAAGGGAGAUGAGCGAGAAUUCGUUCAAAUGACGGAGGUCAAAAAUACAUUUAACCCAAAUUAAUCUUAUAAGAAAAAAUCAAUGGAAUAAAACCUAAUGAUGGAAAAAAAAUGAGUGCAAUUCUAUAACACAACUAGCACCAAUACCAAACUCAAAAUAAAAGCAAUAAGUUACCAUCUAAACACACAAUUAGGAAGAGAUGGUUUAUUUCUAGAGAAGUAUUCUUUGAUCCAGUGAAAAGAGUUUUUUUAGAAGAUGAUUGUUUAAUCUCACAAAUGUUGGGUUUAAGGAGGACAACAUUUAAUCCGUCACAAAGUUAACUUAUUCUUAGUAAAUUAUGUUUCAAAGCAUCAACAUAUUACACAUCUUAUAUUUUUGCAGAAUAAUGCUUACCUUUCUUCUUCAUCUUGAUCCUGUUGUGGAGCUUCAAGAUCAUAUGAUGUUGCUAACACAUGCUUCUUCUUAAAGACAAGUUUCUUCUACUUAUUUUGAGGGCAUUAAUUUUUGUAGUUCCCUAGCUUGUUGUAUCCAUAUCACAUUACUCGACUCUUGCCAGUUUCACCUUUGGAUCCAUCUUUCCUGAAGGGAAAUCUCUUAUUGAUUUGAUAUUUUCUUUUCAGCAUUAUUUUUUAGAUUUUCCUUGAGAUAAAACCUAGCUUCUCUUAUGAUUCUUCUUCUUAACAGAGUUAUUGAUAUUUACGAUUCUUCAAUGAGUGUAGAAUCAUCAGUUAUAUCUUAAUAACUCGCAAAAUAUAUAUUUGAAAGCAAUCAUUUUGCCUAUCUUGAUUAUGAUUGGUCGGUACUCUUGAAGUAAAAGUUCAUGAGCUCUCAGAGUUUCAUUCAACUCAUCCAUUUACAUAUCUUUAGAUUGAGUUAUCAUAGUCACCACAGGUCUCCAAGAACUAGGAAGACUCCUUAUAUUAUUUUAUUUUCCAAGAACUAGGGUCGCACAUAAACACAUAAUUUAUUUAUGAUUUUUUUAAGAACUUUUCCAAAGUUACGAUUUUGGCCUCCUAAAAAAAAUUACAAAACCGCCCCCAAGUUUUGCAUUUGUGGCAGUUUUGGCCCCCAAGACCAAUUUUGAUUCGGUCUAUCCUGACGUGGCACCCUAAGUGAGGUGCCACGUGUUAUUUUAUUUUAUUUUAUUUUUAUCAAAAAUUGAUCUUGGGGCAGUUUUGUAGUUUUUUUUCUUAAGGAGCCAAAAUCGCAACUUCGUAAAAGUUAGGGGACAAAAAUUACUAUUUUGCAAACUAUUGGUUUUGUUUGGGUGAGUCUUAAAAUUAAAGCAAUUUCCAUGUAUCAUUAUACAGGAAACUUAAUAUGUGAAAUUGAAGCAAGGUUAAUUGUCUUGUAUAAUUAGAUGUGGAAUUAUCACAAAUAAGAAAUUAAAGAGAAAUAUCAUAACAAAUAAAUAUGACUAAUAAUAAAGUAAAAUGAAGCACAAGAAAUUUAUCGAAUUUGGUCGUCGACAUAACUCCAUCAAAACCUUCACAAAUCAAAUUAGAGGAAACCUGCUAAACAAAACACUGUUAUGUAACCUGAUGCGUGACUUAGUCACUGUCCUUGAGGAUUUUAUCCGCCUCAUAAACGCAUAUCCUCCCAAGAUACAACAAGUUCUUCUCUGGUAUGAAUCAAAACCGGAGGUGACAGAACAGUUCAAAUUUAUCUCACAGAUAUCAAGAGAUGUAACCUGUAAACUCAAUAUUUUGGAUGAGAGAAAAUAAUUUGAGUAUAGAUAAAUAAGAAGUGAGGGAGUAUAUAUGUGUACUAUAUGCAGGUUGAUAAUUUUUCUGUAUUACUGUAACACCCCGUUUUUCCAACAUAAAAAUUUCAACAAUAAUCAGAGUAACACGUCACAAACGGGAUAUCACAUUUCUCAAAAAUCAUAAAUAGAUAGAUAACAAAUUAUCCUUCGACAAAAUUCUUCGAACAUCGCAGCGGAAUUAGUUUCAUCAUCAAAAAUAGUUUUGGCACGCAGGCCUCAUCAAGAUGUCUCAUAAAUCAGUUAAACUACUUAAUCAUAAAAGCAUAGUCAAAUACAUAAAGGAAUAUAAGCAUGCAAUUCAAGAGACCCCAUCCUGUUACGUAUCAGAGCAACCUAAUCGAAUCAGUGAGGAAUAAGCCACUCACGACAGCAACACAGCACUCUAAGCUCGAUCACAUAAGCAUAAGCACAAAACAAUAAUAUUAAUCAAUAUAAUUCAACAAUCGUAAUUAACAACAUAAAUCUUCAACAUAAGCAUCUUAAACAUCAUAGCAUCAUAGAUAAUAAUAUAUCAUGUAAUCACUUCAUUAAAGCAUCAUAAAUUUCAUAGCAUCUUAACAUCUUUCAUCAUUGGCUCGACUAUGCGACUAUGCAACUUAAGACCUCUUAUAUGCUUGUGGUACCAAUUUAGGGCAUGAGCCCCCAUCGCUAUUUGAGUAUUAAUAUACCUCCAGGGCAUAAGCCCCCAUCGCUAUUGAGCUAAAGCUCCAUCGUGUUGAGUACAAAGCUCCAGGGCAUGAGCCCCCAACAAAUCUAUGCUAAUGCAUGGACUCAAUCUCUUAAACAUCACAAUCAUCAUCUCUUAUUUAUCCAAUAAUUUAGAGGUUCAACAUCAUCUUGAUCGACUUAGACCGACUCAUGCAGCUUGGUUAAAUAACAAUAGCAGCAUAGGCAGAUUACAACAACAGUAUGACAUCAUAUAACGAUAUCAAAUAAAACAGCAGCAUCUCAAUCAUUCAUUCAUAGUUCAAGUAAUGCAAUUAACAUUAUAUUCAACACUAACAUCUCAUAACAGCUUCACAGAUUGCAGUUAACUUCUUAUAUAUGUCUCAUUACUACCCAAGGGUCCAUCCCUAAUCAAAUCAUGCGACACAGAUCACAUUUUCCUUACUUGCACUCAGUUCUGGAAGUGCUCGCGAGGCGAAAGCAUCUGCUCGCCAUGGCGAGUACAAGCCAGAUUCCCAACAAUGGUUGUUCUAGGUUAAACCAGGUUCAAUCUCAUUCUAAGUUAUCAUUUAAUCUUUAAUAAGCAUCUUCAGGCACUCAAAAAUAUCUAGGGUUCAACUCAAAAGUCAAAAUUUCGAAAUCAAGGUUGCUCACUGGUUGAGCUCGCUAGGCGAGUACAGUUGUUCGCUGUGGCGAGUUGCGUCGUGCAACUCGCGAGGUGAGGGAAAUUGGUUUGCGUGGCGAGCGAUGAACUUCAUCCCUCGCGAGGCGAGGAUCAUCGUUCGCGAGGGCGAGCGAUGAAUAUAGGCUCGGGCAGAAGUGCAGUUUUUACGAAAAUUCAUCAACUCUCAUGGUUUUAAGCCUAAUUUCGAUCACAGAAUUCAUCUUAGUCAUUAUCUAGGGUCUAAGGACGGUUUAUACAUCAAUCUAACAACUUAUCAUCAUUGGAUCAUCAAUUUCAUCUAUUAACCCUAAUUUCAUAAAUUUCUUAAUUCAAUUCUAACUUGUUAACUUGAUUAUCAGAAUUACAUGGAUUAAUAAAACUGAAUCGUUAGUCCCACCCUUACCUUAAUUUGAAGAAAUCGCAGCCCUCCUCUUGCUUCUCCCUUCUUUUGCUUUUUCUCCCUUUUUCCAAAAUUUGAUCGUACGUACAUUGUUUUUUCUAAAACUAGGUUUCCCUUAAAUAUCUCCUCCAAUUAUCUUAUCUUAUCUCUCUUUCUCCCCCAAAAAUCUCUAAAAUCUCAAAACAGCCCCUAACUAAAUAUUUUAUUUUAUUUUCAAAUCUUAUUUUAUUAAACAACAAAAUAAGUCUCAUCUCCUCAUAAAAAUCGUCACAUCACAUAAAUCAUCUAGAAUCAUCAUAAAUCAUCAUAUAUCACACAUAUAUUAUAUAAAUAUAAUAUAACUCAUCUAGACUCAAUUAAAUAAUUAAUUAAUUAAAAGUGGGCGUUACAGUUACACCAUCAUUUGUUCCAUACGUAUUGUAUAUAUAUGGCAGGCAAAGUCAAUUCUCAUAGGCUAAGAAGAAACGGUUAACGAAGUAGGCACUAACCUUUGACUAACCAUAAUAAUAGGAACAUGUGGUCAAAAUGAAUAAAAUGAGUAUCUUAGUCAUGGAGAUAUUUAAGGGGAUAUUGGAACCAAUCAAUAAAUAGAAAUAAAGUAAUAAUUCUAAUUUAAUUUUUUUUUUCUAGAUAUUAGAAAAACUUUUGAAAUAUUUAAUAACUCAAAAAUACAACAAUCCCCUGUAACACCUCGUUAUCCCAACAACGUAAUUAAUAAAUAUAAUCAGAGUUAAUCAACUAACGGAAUGUCACACUGCUUUUCAAAAAUUCUUAAAUAGAGUAAAAUGCUAUUUAUUAAACUUCAACAACAUAGCAACUAAUAUAUUGCAGCGGAAAAUUCAUAAUUCUUCAUUAAACAACUUCCAACAAUUCUUGGCACAUGGCCUCAACAAAAUAUCCUCAAAAUUAAAUUCAACAUCAACAGGGUCAUAAUUGAUACAUAAAGGAUGAUAAAAUACAACGACAUAUAUAUAAUCUCCAUCCCGUUACGUAUCAGAGCCCUACGACACAUGUGAGGGAAGUCCACUCACAACAGCAGUGAAAAUCAACUACUCUGGAUCACCUGCAAGUUACUCAUACGAAGGACAACGUUUCCAAGUAGAAAGAGUGAGAUUCACAACAAUAAUAGAUAUAUAAUUCAUCAAUUGAAUUUAACAAUUUAAAUAGCAACAAUAUUUCAUUAUAUAUAUAUAUAUAUAUAUAUAUAUAUAUAUUUCAUAAAUCAACAACAUUAUCAACUUCUUGCAAUUUCACCCAACAACAACUACUACUCAACCAACAACAACGACAUAUACAACGACACGACAACAAUGCUACGACUCAACAACAAUGCAACAAUGCACAUGCAUGUGGUACCAACGAGCAUUUGAAUGAACGAGUAUUCACAGGGCAUAAGCCCUCAACAGUUGGAAUGAUUAAGCAUUCCCAGGGCAUGAGCCCUCAACGAUUUGAACGACAAGGCGUUCACAGGGCAUAAGCCCUCAAUAAUUAUGAGUAUGCAAUGGACUCAAUUUAGUGUAUAUCAACAUACAACUCUCCUACAACGACAACAACAUGAACAACAACAUCUAUUGCACAGCAAUUCAUAUAUAAAUAUGACUUAUGCAUCAACAUGAUCAACUAGCAACACUACAACACUCAAUAUUGAAAUUCAACAACUUGUAUAAUUUAUUUUCAUACAAUUAUACUUAAAUACACAAUCAACAAUCCUUCAUAUACAAAUCAGCAACUCAGAUAAAAUAUUAUAAUUAAUCAGGAUUAUUAAUAUACCCAAGAUUCCAGCCCAACCGUAUACCAAAUUGCAAAAGCGGCUCUCAGCUACUGAGCAACUCGCGAGGCGAGUGCAUUUGCUCGCUAUGGCGAACUCAAGAAAUGAGCUACUCGCUAUGGCGAGUACGUGGCGAACAAGAAAAAUGGUGCUCUCGGGAGUUUUGACAUUUUUCUCACUAAAUCUUCAUUUUUAAGCUCCCUAAUCAUCUUUUUAAUCUGAAAUUUGUCACAGUCCUCUCUAAAAACACCCAUGUACUCAAAACCAUUCAACUUACGUCUUAUAAAAACAUUUUAAAAAUCAUGAUUCCUCACUCAGGUACUCGCUACGGCGAGUGAUCUUGCUCCCGAGGCGAGCGAUGAAAAGGCUUGCUCGCGAGGCGACGAGUCAGCUUACUCGUCAUGGCGAGUUGCGUCAGAUCUGACUACGGGAAUUCUGCAGUUUUUCACAAUAAAUCCCAAUUUUCCCCAAUUCAAUCCCCAAAACAGAUUGCAAAAGUGUUAUAAGUUUCUGCCUACGACUUGAACACAAUCUAUCACUAAUGCCAUGAAUUUUACACUAUUUAAUUCAAAAAUCAUACUCAAAACCUAACUCCCAAUUCCCAAUUUCAACUAGAACCUUGCUAAACCAAAAUCAGAGUUGUAUAACCAUUACCAUUGAGAGUUAGUCUCACCCUUACCUUGAUUUUGAUGAACAAAGCUCUCCAAAAAUCAGAUUCUCCCCUCUUGGCUCUUCUCUUGGUUUUUCUCCCAAAAACUUGCUUGUACGUAAAAACUGUUUUUCUGACUUCUCCAACUUCUUACUUAACUCCCCCUUAAUUCUAAUUAACUCCCACUUAAUUCCUUUAAUUAAUAAUUAAACCCCAAAACUCCAAUAAAUUAUAAUUCCCACUUAUUCUAUUAAAUAAUAAAAAAAUAACCAUUUAAUAAAACACACCACAACAUAAAAUCAACAUAAAUUAUUUAAAAUCAUAUAAAAGUCUCUAAAUCAACUAAAAAUAAUUAAAUAACAACUAGGGCGUUACAUCCCCCACAUAUUUCAAAAGUUUAAAUGAAAAUUAUUUAAAGACUUUCUGGGGUAACAUGUGGAUGUGAUGCAUCAAACUGGUGUAGCAAGCUAUAUGAACCAGUCCUAGAAUGGUAAACUUAACACACAGUCAAUUUGAUGUAGCACGCUAUAUGAACCAAAAACACUUGUGUAUGUUAGAGGUCAAUAUCCUGCAUCACACCCCCACAAUUCUUGUUGCUACGCGGUUGUGCGCUAAUAGGCCAUGCGUGUGCGUAAAUUUGGAAAGACUAAUAUACAUCACAACCAGCCUUUAAAAUUAACCAUAAACCCACACAUUGGGUAAAUCAAACAUCAAUGUAUUAUUUUAACACAAUGGAUAAUCCACAAUAUGUCACAAAUAAUUUAAUAUGAAUCUCAAUAUGUAUCUCAUGAGUUUAACAAGUGCCACAAAAAUAUAUUCAGAUCUACUUAGAUUAUUUCUAAGCGACAACAUCUCUCUUACACUUGUUUUACUAAUGCAUAUCACAUAUUUAGCUUCAUGAGCUUCUUAAAUCAAGUUUACACAUGCAGGCACGGAAUCAAUGUGAGGGCAAUGGGGUCAAGUGACCCCACUUGCCUCCUCUUGUGUAUUGUAUUUUUAAUCUAAAAUUAAUUUUUUUUUAGGAUUAACCAAAAAUUAAAUAUAUGUCUAGUUUGAUCCCCUUUAUAAAGUAUUAUUGUACUCACAUAGUCUACUUAUUACACUACAAAAAAUUACAAAACUAAGAAGGAUCUUAGAGCAUAUCGUUGGCAAGACCAUAAAACUACUAUUAUAAUAUAAACUAUUUUUAUAUUUCACUACUAGAAAAUGCAAAAUUAGCGAGGGAAAUUAGUGCCGGAAAAAAUGAAAUUCCUCACAAAUUCCUUGGUCGCAAAAUUUAGUGACGGAAUUAGAGAGGAAUUUUACGUUUUCCCUCACUAAAUUUAGUUUUUUUAGCAGUGUUUACUGAAAAAGAUUGUGACUGGCGCUACGUUAGUGGUGAAAAAAAUAAUUAAUUAUGAUUAUAUUUUUUAUUCUCUGCUAGAAAUGGAUAAAUAUUUUUAAAAAAAUCAACAUUUUAGGGCAAUUAUAAAUAUAACUUGUAUAAUUUUCGCAAGCUUACACGUUUAUAAAGUUUUAUAUAAAUUUUUAUGAUAUAACUUGACCCCACUUAUUAAAAUUUUUGGAUCCGUCACUGUACAUGCAUAGCCCCCUCAUUCAGAAAGUUUCAUAUCGACCGAAACAACAAUUUGUCAUAUAAAGAAUAAAUAGCAUAGAUAUUGUUGUUUUGGAAUUUAAAAAUUACGACAGAGCUUUGAAACUAUUACCGGGGUGAGUCACGACCAGGUCGCUUUCUUUAAGACGUUUCGCGGCACUACCUAAAUUGUGUGCAAGGUAGACUAGCAACCGCGUCAUCUCCAGGAUAAAACAGCCCAGAUUCUAUCUGUACGAUUAAAGGCUGCACUGCCAGUAAUCGCUCGAGAAUAACACCUCAAUAUGGUUUCGAAAAACCACUCUAAUAUGGUACCAGACCACUCGAGAAACCAAAGAAGGAGGAAGAAAAGAAUGGUUCAUCAACACAAACCGAGGGAGAUGAGAAGGGGAGAAAACCAAAGAAGAGGAUUCAAUUCUCAGUUUUGGAGUGAAGAAUGCAAAUCCCGAGCUCUCUAUUUAUAGAGGGGAUUUGACCUCGUUUUCUCCGCCGACCCGGUUCGCGACCCAGCAACGGUAACCCACGACGCAGAAACGUGGAGCUGAAGCUUGCGCGUGUGGAAAACGUGUGAGACUUGGUCUCCGUGUGCGGGAAUCUCGGAGCAAAAAAAUAAUAUUAUUUUUUCAUUUUUCUGAGCACCAAAAAAUAUAUUUCUUUAAAGCCAAGCCCAAGCCCCCUUGGAAGUGAUAUCUCACAUAUAUAAACACUACUACAAUGUGUAAUCUACUCAAUGUGGGACAUAAAAUUUUCAAUUCACACUUUACACUAGUUUCUCCAUUCUUGUGUUUACAUUCCAUAGGCUCCACAAACCAACUAGUAUACUUCAAAUUUUUUCCAUUAUACACUAAUGUUCCAACAUAUAUGAUAGAAGAGAUUUGAACUACACAUGUAACGUAAUGGCACAAGAAGCAUCCAAUGAUAGAUAACAGGGUGAAAUCAAAAGCAAAAGUAUAAAACACAUAUGUUAUAAACACCUCUUUAAGAGAAAAACAUUUGAUUAUCAUGCGAUUUACAGUAACGCUUUUACACAGAAUAUUAUUUAGCCCAUAAUAAUAUUAAAAUAUCAAAAAUCGUCCAAGUGUAAACAAUAUUGUUUACAAUAUUGUUCAGAGGCAUAAAGAAAUCUAACAUUAGAAUUCCAAAUGGUACAAGUACACACCGGCUCACAACCGCUUAAACCUGAACCCAAAUAUCAUAUUCAUGCAUCAUUAAUUAAAGGCUUAAAUAUCAUUUUCAUCCCAGUAAUUUGGGCCCGUUUUGAUUUUCGUCCCUGUAAAAAAAAAAAAGUUUGAAAAACAUCCUUAUAAAAAAAAAAUUUGUUUGAAAAAGGUCCCUGGUCCCACAUUUUUGAUUAUGUGGCAUGGGUUUUGCCACAUGGCAGCCACGUAAUUAAAAAAUUAAAAUUACUUUUAAAUUUUGAAAAUUAUUUUUUUUAAUUAAAAAAAUAUGAAAAUAAAUUCAAAAAUCAUUUAAAAAAAUCGAAAAAAACUGUUAAAAUUAAAUUUUCGACCAUUAAUUUUUUUUAAUUUGAAAAUUAUAUAUUUUUUUCAUAUUUUAAAAAAUAAAAUAAAAAAAUCAUUUCAUUAUUUUUUUCAGAAAUUUCAGAUUUUAUAAUUUUUAAAAAAACUAUAUUUUUUUGAAAAUUAUAUGAUAAAAAUAAUUUCAGAAAAUAAUUUUAAUUUUUUUUAUAUUUUUAAAUUUUAAAAACAAUUUUUAGAAUUUAAAAAUUAUUUUUAAAAAUUUAAUAUUAUGUGGCAUGCCACAUCAGCGCCACGUGGCAAAAGUUGCACAGUCAGCAACUGCCACGUGGCAAAAACCAUGCCACAUCAUCAAAAAUGUGGGGCCAGAGGCCUUUUUCAAACAAAUUUUUUUUUACUGGGAUGUAAUUCAAAGUUUUUUUUUACAUGGACGAGUAUAUGUGUACUAUAUGCAGAUUGAUAAUUUUUCUGUGUUACACCAUCAUUUGUUCCAUAUGUAUUGAAUAUAUAUGGCAGGUAAAGUCAAUUCUCAUAGGCUAACAAGAAACGGUUACUGAAGUAAGCACUAGCCUUUGACCAGCCAUAAUAAUAGGACCAUGUGAUCAAAAUGAAUAAAAUGAAUAUCUCUUAAUAAUGAUGAGUCAUGGAGAUAUUUAAUGGGAUAUUGGAACCAGUUAAUAUAUAGAAAUAAAGUAAUAAUUUUAAUUGAAAAAUGUUAUGUAAAGCGAAUUAAACUUCCCGAAUUUAUCCCCAUUUAUAUAUAUGUUUGUACCGCAUGACACCAUUGCCACCUGAAUUCCACUAAUUUAGCCUUUUAUUUAGUUUGAUCAUUAUAACUAGGAAUCACUCUUCGUGAGUGCCUCGUGAGAAUUUUAUUCGCGAUGAAUAGCAUCGCUAAUUCUAAUUUAAAUUGUUUUAUAGUAAUAAGAAAACUUUUGAAAUAUUUAAUAACUCAAAAAUACAACAAAUUGUUGCCCUCUAUCAAUCAAAUAACCUAAAAACAUUACUGAUAGAUAUUUGGCAAGUGAACCAAAUUCAAUUGAAGUAAUAAAAAAUUCGUUUCCACGAGGACUGUAUUAACUUCUACUUAGCAAUUUCAUUAUCAAAAAGGGGUGGGGUUUAGUAUGGGAAAGGAAAGUUGUUUCCCAACAUAGGAAAGUAAAUUUUAGACCACUAGAUCAAUUAGAGAACACAAUUUUAUCAUGGACUUUCAACACUUAAUUUUUUUUUUUACAACCUAAAAAUAAAACUUUUUUUUUGUUGAAAAAGGGGAAAAAAUGGAGGAAACUGCGAUUAACAUCAACUAAAUUUUUCUACAUCAUCAACAAUAUAAAAACAAGAACAACAUUCAUCAUCAUAUGAAGCCUAUUACUCAAUGUCCUUCCAUCCCUACUAGCCCACCACCAGCAACAAGCUUACAAAAUUUCCUUAAACUAAAAAACGUGACUCACCCACCACCACCAUCACUAUCAAUUCUUAAUCUUCAAUCAUCUUGGAACAUAUGAGAUAUUUUGUAGUCAUGGGUUUGAAAGGAUUUUUAAGAAAAUUCUUUAUGUGAUGAUGAAUGUUGUUGUUUCCCACAAUAGGCAAUGAGAAAGGCUUUGGUUACCUAAACUGAAUCUGUUGCCAAUUCCAUCUGGGCACUGCCCCUCCCAUUGCCGUACAUAAAUAUAGAAAAAUCCACAACCUUCAAGAUCUGAUUUUGUUUAUUUGAGUUGUUUGAUUUUAAUUUGAUUUAUGGGUUAUAGGUGAUGAAGAUUUUGAAGAGUUUUUAAUUUCUGUAAUUGAAUUGUUGAGUUUUAAUUCUGAGUUGAAGAUUGAAUGUGACAUGGCAUUGAGGAGAGAUAGUAGAGGAAGAUGAUGGAAAAAUAAUCUAACGUUGACAGUGCAUGAUAAGAUGGUGUUCUUUACUUGAUCUGAUGGUUAAAAUUAGCUUUCCCAUGGUGGGAAACAACUUCCCUUUCCCAUGCUAAACUCCACGUCAAAAAGGAUGUGUAAAAUUUAUAUUAGUGCCCUAGACAGUUGAGUUGAUUUUGUAACAUAAACAAAAUUAAAAAUAGUAAAAGAUUGGUUUUAGAAAAUCUGAGAGAAGAAUGGUUAAGUCUUUCGAAUCCUCCGACGCUCUCCUAUGAUAAUUUGCACUCCUAAUUCAAUCAAUGAUUAUUUAGUUUCACGACAGAUUAACUUAGUAAUUCUACCCAAUCUCUUGACCUAGAAUUCUCCCCGCAAGUGACAACCCCUUAAUCUCUUAAGUGAAUUCGAAACCGUUGGAGGUAUUAAAAGAACGUUAAUCCCUAUGUCAUAACCUAAUAAUGAUGAUCUAUCUCUAGCUUGAUUACUUAGGUUAAACCUAUUACCUAGUUCAGAGUUAAAAGCCAGGGUUAGUGGUCAUUCAAUUUCUAUGAUCAAUAUGCAUAUUCAUAAAGCUAGGGUUAAUAGUCAAUGAUAAACAUACAUAAAGCAUUAAACACAAGGUAAUAUGAAUAAAGACUAAACUUUCAUUGAUGUUCAAAGGAGUUCAACAAAUUAGGGUUCCGUAGGAUUACAUCAGAUUUAUCUCAGGAAUUAACCACAAAAUUAGUUACUCAUAGCUAAAGUAUAAGCUAACUAACAUAAGAAAAAGGAUUCAUACAUGUAAAGGAUGAUUGACUCUUAGUUUUGAUGGUUUCCCACCAGAUCUCCAAGUCUCUGCUCCAAAAUAUGCCUUUAGGUCUCCAAAUUCGUCAACCCCUAAUCUGAAAACGCCUCUUUAUAUUUAUAAGCAAGUCAAAAUCGGCCACCGUGCACCAAAAUCGGUGGCCGAUUUCAACAGAACGCGUGCCCAAAAAGUACCAAAUCGAUGGCCGAUUUUUCUUAAUCGGUGGCCGAUUUUUCACAAGGCCAAAGCUCAAAAUUGUAGCAAAAAUCGGUGGCCGAUUUCCAAUCUUGAAAACUUCAAUUUCUUCUUCUUUUGUAGCUUGCAACUCCAUGAAUUACAAUAAAUAACCCCUAAAAUUACAUGAAAAAUGUCUACUAAAAGAGUAAUGACAGAAUGUCAUCAAUUACUACAUCCAUUCACAGAAUAUUGUUUUUUUUUUUCAAGAAAUAUUCACAGAAUAUUGUUACAUUGAAGCGACGGAGUGGAGUGGCAGCCUGCCAUGGAAUCAACGUCAGCCAGCGGCGGCGAGGGUUCCCCCACACGGGUUUAUAGGUCUUGCUCUGUCUUAAAAUUUUCACACUUAUUAUUGCGGUAGUUACUUUUUUGUUUUGCUCAUUUCUUCCUUCUUCUUUUCUUCAUAUUUUUUAUUUGUAUAUUUGUUAAUUUGUUAGUGAAUGUUGCUUUUAGAAGCAAACGUUAUCGAUUAUUCAUAUUCCGCAUGUCUUUGAACAGAGGCUUUCUGAUUGUUGUUCUGAAUUUUGAAUUGGUCGAUAAUAACAUGUUUUUGUGGAUGUUAGGUUUUAUCAAUUUGUUGAGAUAUUUUGCUUGUUAGGGAACACCUCUUCACUAUUAUUAAUGAUCCUUUAACGUAUACUCUUCAUUGUAUAUCAUAUUUUUUUCUUCUAGUUUUUUAGGAUCACUUUUAGUUUCACAAGUGCAAUUUCCUAACAGGUUUUAGACUUCCAUCAAUCAAAGGUAAUUCUUCUGAUGUAUGAGAUACUAACUUGCAAUAUUUGGUUGUCGUGUCGAUUUGCUUCGAUGCAUCCUUUACUAUUGUAUCCUUAUAUUUCAUUAUAGGCUAAACAUAGGCGGAAUUAAUGUCAAAUUCAAAUCCAUGUUGUCUUAAUUAUUUUGAUCAGUUUGUUGUAUUACAUCAAGUUCUGGUGCCUUAAACACUAUGGUCAUAACAUGGUUGAUUACGUUUUGUCUUCUUCAAACAUCAUGGCUAAAGUUCUCACAAUAUCCUUAUAUACUUGAGUUCAUUGCUUGUAUAUAUCCAAGUUGGCAAACAGAGACUAAGUCAUCAUCAUAUUUACUAAAAAUAAUACAAACAAAAUUUACAAAAGGUUUUGCCAUCGAUGUGUCCAAGAAAUGAAGCAAUCUCAAUAAUCUGCAAAGGAUUCUCAGUCGUACCAAAACCAAUGGCUCGAAAAACGAUGCGGCGAUUAUAAAAGAAUGAGAAUUCCAAAAAACAAAGACAUGAGCUAUCAGCGAGUUUUACUUCAAAAUAAGAUUCUCUAAUUGAUAUGUUUGAAAAUAACCGGUUAUCGUUAAAAUUACAACGAAAAAUCAACCAACCUUUACAUUCCCAGCCUUUUUCACAAUACUUCUUUUCGUGUUUGAUGCAUCACAUUUCACGGUGCUUGUUACGAUGCAAACACCAUGAAAUGCGAUGAAUCAAAGAUGGCAUUACAAGCAUCAAGAAUGUCUCUUCACCGACAUAACAAGUAUUGUAAAAUGCAAUGAAUCAAACACAAAGAAAGUAGUGAAGUGAAGUACAUACACAAAAAGAAGUAUUGUUAGAAAGGUUGGUCGAUUUAUUAUUUAAAUUUAACGAUAACUGAUUAUUUUCAAACCUAUCAAUUCGAGAAUUUGUUUUCAAAGCAAAACUCGUUGAUAGCUCAUGUUGGUUUUUUGGAUUAUCAUUCUAUUAUAACCACCACAUCACUUUUUGAUCCAUUGGGUUUUGGUACUACUGGGAAUAAUAGUUUACAGAUGACGGAGAUCGCUGCAUUUCAUGGGCACAUCAGUAGCAAAACCUCUUCUAAGUUUUUUUCGUGGCUUAUUUGUUAGUAAAUACGAUGAUCUCUUACCCUAUGUUUGCCAACUUGGAGACAAACAAUAGACUCAUAUAAGCUUUUAUUCGGACAUAGUGAGGGUUUUAGCCAUGAUGGGUCAAGAAACUUUGAAGGAAGAUAAAAAUUAUUUUUGUUCUUUACCGAUCAUAGCUAAAGCCCUCAAUAUGUCAGAAUAAAAACUUACUCGAGGUCGUUCUUUGUCUCCAAGUUGUCAAUAAAUAUUCAACAAUGCCAUAGUUGUUUAAGAGACGAGAGCUUGAUUUUCUUUUCUUAAACUCAUGGGUACCAAAGAAAGAACUUACAAACAUGAUACGAUAGGAAUGCCCUUAGUUGUACGGGAUUAGUACUUGUGGAGUAUGUUUUGGUUGGAUCUUGUAUGCUGCAAAAUAUUUGUUUUUGUCUAUGGCCUUGGCCAACGAAAUAAAAAUGCAACCCCCUUUUUUCUCGCGUUUUCUGUAUAAUACAACAAACUGAUCAAAUUAAUUAAGAGAAGAGAAUAACCGCUAAUUUUUGUGGCUUUGUGUAUGUGAGUUUACGAUGACUUUGCUAUUUCUUCUAUGUACUAAAAAAAAAAAAGAAUAUAUGCUCUACUGUUUUGUUUCUUGAUUUCUUGUUGCAUCAGGUAAGCAAUUAUUUUCAUAAAGUAAUCAAUAUACAAGUAGAGCUUCAUUUUCUAUACUUAUUCUUGCAUGAUUGUUUUGGGUGAAUUAGUGUUUAUGACAAGCUUCCAAAUGUAGUAAAUUUCACAGCUAAUCAUAAUUCUCCCUCAAUUUUAUCUCAAUUGUUUGGUAAUUUGUCAUUUAGACUGUAUAUUCAAUUCAAUUUUGGCUGAAUUAGUGUUUAUGACAAGCUUCCACAUGAUUUAGUAUUGUGUUGAGAUUUUGCUCAAAAUGAAUCGGGAUGAGAUAAGAAGCAUAUGUGUAAAUAAUGAAGCACCGAUACGGACACGGACACGACAUAGACAUUGACAUGCCGACACUGCUAAUAAUUUGAGAAAAUCACAUAAUUCGAUUGUAAUUAAUGUGUCCGUGUGUCGUGUCGGUGUCAGACAGAACACGUGUCCGUACUUCGUAGACAUCUAUUCUUGUUUCACGCCACAUCUGUGAAGCCUCGAUACUUCAAAAUGGAUGACGUAUCGUAUCCCCUGCGUAUCCUACACCGAUACCUGCCUGAUACUUCCCGAUACGUAUCAGAAGAGUAUCCGAAGAUUAAAUUUUAUUUUUUUAAAAAAUAAUUAUCCGAUACUUCCCGAUACGUAUCAGGAGAGUAUCCGAUAAUUAUCCUGCACCAAUACCUGCCUCAAUACUUCCCAAUUAAUGUUAGUUAAAAUAACUUAACUCUUGAGUAUAGUGCUUCUUUUUUGGAUCGAUAUAGUAUAGCACUAACAAUGUUCAUUUUGGAUAUAGUAUAACACCUAUGGUGCUCUUUUUGGGAUAUAUUGUGUAUGUAAUUGACUAAUCAUCACUCUCUUAAUCGUCACUAUUAUUUAUAUUUAUGUUGAUGUGCUACGAGCCUAUGACUGGUUUAUUUUGUUUGUUAAUAUAUUUGUAUAUUAAAAAAAUGGUUAUAAUUAUUAUAUUGUACAUUAAAUUUUAUAAUUUUUUAUUGACGUAUCCCAGCCGUAUCGUAUAUUAAUUUUUGAAAUUUUCUCGUAUCGACGUAUCGGUGCAGUAUUAUAUAUGUAUCGUAUCUUGUAUCCGGGCUUCAUAGCGUCUAAUUAAAACAUGACUAAAAUAGUCUGAUGAAGUAUUAGAGUAUAGCUUAUACGAAUAGGUUAUGUUUUUUUUUUUUUUGGUACAACGAAUAGGUUAUGUUAUUCUAGAUUACUUGGUCACUUUUGUACGCACAUUUUGUUACUCAUUUAGGUAUUAUUUCAGUUACAGGUCAGUUUGGGCAGUUUGUCAUGCACUGCUUCCAUGGCAUCUUAAACUCUUUAUGAAAUAAACUUUCUAUUAAAAUUUAAUCUGCUGUUAAAUUUGUAAUUUUAUAGUUUUUUGCAUCUUUUUUGCAGGAUAAGUUGUAAUGUUCAAUAAGAUUGUAUUUGAUGCAAUAAUAAUUGAGAUUUAUGUAUAUCUUCGAAGGUUAUAAAAUCAAUAAAUUAGUGAUUUUAAUACUAACCAGAUAUUACUAUAUUUGUACAUCUUUAAUAAUUGAAAUUUAAUUAUGUUUAAAUUAUAUAAUUCUAUUUUUAUUUUGAAAAAAUUAUAAUUGAAAACAUCAAAACUGAAGAUAUUAAAUUAUAAGUUAAUCAAAUAGUUAAAAGAAGAUUAAAAUGAAUUAAAAUAUAAAUAUCUCCAAAUGAAGAUUUUGGGAUUUUUUUUUUCAUACGGACUUACUAGUAAAACCAAAUUUAUUGACUACUGGGAGUUGCGACUAGGGGUGUGUGUGGUUCAGAAACAAUCGAUUAGGCCAACAAAUCAAACUAAAUUGAAAAUUAUUCGAUCUUUUUUGAUUUGGUUAAAUAAAUAAAAAAUUAUUCGAUCAUAUUUUAUUUGGUUAAGAAAUCAAAUGGAAGGAAACUAAACUGGACUGAUUCAGUUUUUGGUUUUCGGUUUUCAAUUUAAAAAUGAUAAUUUCUUUUUCCAGCCUUUUCUCUUCUCAUUCAUGGAUUAUAAAAUCCGAAAAAUGGAAGGUUGUCAGGGUGUUUUGACGUGUUUUAGAAGGCGUUUAACGAUCUCAUAUUAUAAAAUUUGAAACCUAUAAAACACAUGAGAAAAUAGAAGGGUGGAAAAAGAAACAAUCUUCAUAAAGUUUACUAGCCCACUUUGACUUUGCCCAAAUCCAACAUUUUAUCAACACGCUCACACCAAAAUAACAAACAAACAACAUUUGUACAAGUUCAUCAAGUUUACUAAGAUUAUGUUUUUCACAUUUUCCAAGUUUAUUAAGUUAACUUGUUUGUUUUUAAUAUUUUUUUAUGCUUUUGUCAAGUAAAUAUAUGUUUAUACAAUUUUCGUAAUUCUAUGUAAGUAAAAAAUUUAAAGGAUUUCUGCUAUAGUAAUUAUGAAUUGGUCUAUAGUAAUUAUGAAUUGGUUCAAUCCUUAAUUAAUAAUAUGUUGGUAAGAUUGAGCAAACAUUAUUUUUUUUAAUUGCAUUUUUAGGUGAAUUGAUCAAUGAAAUUGAACCAAACCGAAUUUAUCAGUUUAUUUUGGUUCGAUUUCACUUAUGAAAAAUGCCGAAAAUCAAUGUAGAUUUGAUCGUUUGAAUUUUUCUUUAGAAUCGAGCGAAACCAAACCAUUUCACCCAUCCGUGCGGCAUUUGCCUGCAAAAUUUCACAGAAAUAUUACUUGUACCGUUUGAUGGCGAAUAUCCUGAGAAACUUACUUGAGGAUUUCAAAAUCCGCUAAAUAUAAUUAUCUACGAAAGGAAAUGAGUUUCUUGCAUAAUUUUUACCCAAAUACGCAUGGUUUUUUUUUUUUUUUUGGUCAAGCCAAAUACGCAUGUUAUUGCACAUGAAAUUAACUAACUCCCAAAAGAUGUUGCUACGAUAGUUUUGGGAUUGUAUGAAUGAGAAGUAGAGACCUUGGUAUCAUAACACAAUCUCAAAAGAUAAGUAAGAUAGAAAAGAGAAGAGGAGAUUUCAAUAAAAAUAAGGAAGAAUGCAAUGCUAUUUAUAGCCACAAAAACAUUUAUAGCUAUCAAAGAAAACAUUUUAAAUGACUAAAAAUACAUUAACACGCACAUUGCUUGUAAUACUACCAGGGCCGUUCCUAUGAAUCCGGAGGCUCGGUUCUGUAAGUGAAAAGAGACCCGUAAUAAAAUAAAAACGUAUUUUUUUUUAAAGAAUAAUGUUCUAUUUAAAAUUUUUAAAAGAUAAAUACAAAGUGUCGUAUAUAUGCGAUACACUCAAAGGUGAAAAUCACUACCGCAUACAUGAGGAUCCAAUUCUAAUAGGCCUAAAACUAAACAACAGAAGAGGAAAAUGAAAUCAAAUCAGGAAAGAAGAAAAGGAAAGUUCGAUGCAGUGAUGGUGAUGGAACGCGUGGUAUCAGAGAGAAAGAGAAUAUGAAUUUUUUUUUAAUGAUGUAGUACUUAUAAUUUUUUUGAGGCCCAUUCCUUGGGGAAGCCCGGUUCCUUUGAGCUCCUUACACAUCCCAAGGUCCGGCCCUGAAUACCACCUUUCAUAUUUUGGAUUGGUUCACAUUAUAUAAUUUAGGUUUAAUAGUGCUUUUCACCCUGUAAUAUAGGUCAUUUUCGAUUUUCGCCCCUAUAAAAUUUUCGGUUUGAAUUGCAUCCUCGUAAAACUUUUUUUUUCCUAGAAAACAACCCUCCCCCAUCCAACUCAGCAAAUUCGCUUACGUGGCGCUGAUUUGGUUUUUUUUUUUUAAUUGGCCACGUGUAAAAAAUAUAUCCACAUCAGAUUUUAUUUUUAAAAUAUUUGAAAAUAAAUUUUAAAAAAUAAAAAAAUCCAAAAAAUAUUCAGUUUGUUUCCAAAAAUUAAAAAAAUCAAAAAUUUAUUUUUAAAAAAUUCAAAAAAAAUAUUAAGAUUUUUUUCGAAACAUAAAAAAACAAAAAAAUAGUCAUAUUUGUUUCCAAAAAAUUUUAAAAUCGAAAAAAAAAUUAGAUUUUUCUUUCAACAAAAAUUAGAAAAAAUCAGAAAAUGUAAUCAGAUUUUUUUUGAAAUUAAAAAUAUUUUAAAAAAUUCUGGAAUUUAAUUUUCAAAAUUACAAAAGAGGUCAGAUUUUUUUUUUUUGAAAAUAAAAAAUCUGAAUUUUUUUAAAAAACCUGUAUACAAAUAUAGAAAAAAAUCAGAUUUUUUAUUCAAAAAUUUUAUCCCACAAUUUUAAUAAAAUAUUGGGAAAAAAAUCAUUUCAUUCCACAAAUAUAAGAUUUAUAAUUUCUACCUCCUCUAAGGAAAAGCUUAAUUCUAGGAAAAAUGGAAUUUCCACGACUUUUUUAAAAAUUAAAUUUUUUUCCAGAAUUUUUUAAAAUCUUUUUAAUCGAAAAAAAUCUUAAUAGUUUUUUUUUCUAAUUUUUAAAAUUUUUGAAAAAAAAAAUCUAGUUUUUUUAUAUUUCGGAAAAAAUAUUAAUAUUUUUUCUGAAUUUUUUAAAUUUUUGGAAAAAAACAGAAUAUUUUUAUGAUUUUUUUUUAUUUUUUAAAAUUUAUUUUCAAAUGUUUUAAAAGUAAAAUCUGAUAUGGAAAUAUUUUUUUACACGUGGCCAAUUAAAAAUAAUAAAAAAUGAAAAAAAUGCCAAAUCAGCGUCACGUAAGCAAAUUUGCUGAGUUGGAUGGGGGAGGGGUGUUUUCUGAAAAAAAAAAAAAAGUUUUGCAAGAAUGCAAAUCAAACCGAAAAUGGCCUAUAUUACAGGGGUGAAAAGCAUUAUUAACCCUAUAAUUUAAAAUCAUUCCUUCCUGAGUUAUGAUACAUAGACAUCCUUAGGUGGCAAUACACCCUUUAACACCUACAAAAAAAUCUGACACGUGGCCACAUGGAUCCCGCACAAGCACACUUUCUCUUUUCUCUUCUCUUCUCUCUUCCUAAUGUAUGGGGUGUACUAGGGUGUAUGAGAAUAAAUGAUGUCUAUAUAACAUUUUCCUUCCUAAAUUGGUUUGGAUUUCAUACUAUAUAAUUUGAACCGGUCGAAUACUCUAGAUAUUUUAAUCAAUAGAACCGUUGUUAGAUGAACUCAAUCAAUCAAUUAAUUUUGAGAUGGAAUUAGUGGAACUACUCUUGAAGUUUAGUUAGAAACACACUAGCUACCAAAUUUGAAAGCAGGAUCCAGCAAAUAUUUCUUAAGGAAUAAAAGUAAGUGAGUGGCAAACCUUCCACAAACGGAACUCAACUUUGUCCUUUUGUCCCAUACCUUUGCUGUCCCAUACCUUUGCUGUUAUUGUCCCUUUCCUUAGCUGGCCAUACCCUGUCCCCGCGUAUCCUAUAAUGACCACACUACACUAAAAAAACUAAUCAAUUUGGUCAAACUUUGGCACCUAGCAUCACACACCAAACCCAUGAAUUUGGUUAUUGUAGGGGAGCCAUAAAUCAUUAAUUGUAAUAACAUAAUACAAACGCGAAAUAUAGCUGGCACCUCUCCCAUAAUUUGACUUCAUCAAUACUCACUCACUCCACCUCUUGUGACCUCUCUUUCUAUACACCUUCCUUUCCACAACUAUAUAAACCCAAAACCUAUCUUACCUAUGCAUCAAACAUUUCCCACAACAUCUAUAAUUUCUACUUCAUUGUUCUUUCUCACUCAAAACAAAACCCAAAUGGCAUCAUUUAACAAGAGUGCAAUCUUCAUUCUUUUUCUCACAAUUUCACUACUUCAAUUGAGUUCAGCUAGGAAACUCACUGAAUCAGACCAACAACUUAAAUUUCAAUACCACAAAGGCCCUCUUCUAACCGGUAAAAUUUCAGUAAACCUCAUUUGGUAUGGAAAAUUCAAACCAUCUCAACGAGCGAUUAUAACUGAUUUCAUAACCUCGUUAUCUUCUCCCAUAAAACCAACCACCGCAUCACAACCAUCAGUUGCCACGUGGUGGAAAUCAACUGAAAAAUAUUACCAACUCACUAACAACAAGAAAUCAGUUAACCUAGCUCUCUCACUAGGUUCUCAAAUUCUUGACGAGAAAUACUCUUUAGGAAAAUCUCUCACAACUAACCAAAUCCUUAAUCUCGCAUCAAAAGGACAACAACAAAACGCCAUCAACGUUGUCCUAACAGCUGCUGAUGUGUUAGUUGACGGUUUUUGUUCAAGUAGGUGUGGAACCCAUGGUUCUUCUUAUGGUGCACGCGUAAAUGGAAAGAGAAACAAGUUCGCGUACAUUUGGGUUGGAAAUUCGGAGACACAAUGUGCUGGUCAAUGCGCGUGGCCAUUUCACCAACCAAUUUAUGGUCCACAAAGUGCACCGUUGGUUGCACCAAAUAACGAUGUGGGUCUUGACGGAAUGGUUAUAAAUGUUGCUAGUCUUUUAGCUGGAACCGUAACAAAUCCUUUUGGUAAUGGUUAUUUUCAAGGACCUAAAGAAGCUCCUUUGGAAGCUGCUUCGGCUUGCACCGGUGUUUAUGCUAAAGGAGCUUAUCCUGGUUAUGCUGGGGACCUUUUGCUGGACAAAACAAGUGGUGCUAGCUAUAAUGCAAAUGGUGAUAAUGGAAGGAAGUAUUUGUUGCCUGCUAUUGUUGACCCUAAAACCUCGGCUUGUUCUACAUUGGUAUAAAGUAAGAGUGUUUAGUUGUUAGGCAAUGAGAGAUUCUUUGAUUUGUUAAUUCAAUUAGUUGUUAUAGCCUCGAUAAUUCUUUGAUUCUUUGUAAUUUUAAUAAAUAAAUAAUAUCAAUAUUAUUAUGUCCUCCAUAAAUAAUGUUAUUGAAUGAAGCAAAGAUAUCAUAAUUUUACCAUUAUAGUUUUAUUAUAUACUGAUGCAUUAUAAAUAGAAAGUGAAAAAGAAAAAGAGCAAUGCUAUAAAUAAAUAGUGAAAAAUCUUGAGUUGAGAGUUAUGAUGAGAUUUGCAUCAAGCCCUAUAGUUGGCAAGUUGACUAUGAAUGUGACUAAUACACCGUUCAAUUCCAAAUCAAGCCAAGCUACUUAAUAUUAAAUUUAAUUUUUUUCCAUUUUUUCCUUUUUAAAAUAAAGGGUUGGGAGUGUUGAAGCACAUAGUAUAAAUUAAAUGGUAAAAUUGAAAAAGAAAUAGUUAAUAUUAUACUGAAAAUUGAAGUAAUACUCGAUUUUAGAUACAAUGAGUAUUUUGAAUGAUUAAAUAAUUCAAUUUCUUGAUGAAAUCAUUGUAAGAUCGUGUAAACUAAUUUCAUAUUUCGUCAUCGUGAGUUUAACUCAGUUGUUAUGUACAAUGCAUAAUAUAUAGAAGGUUUGUGGUUCGAAUCCCGACCACAAUUAAAAAAAGAAAACUAAUUUCAUAUUUCCAUAAACAACCCUUAAAAUAUUGCUAAAAAAGUAAAUAUGUAUGGAUAAAUGGCGUUAAUUUCAUAAAUCCAACUUCAACUAAUGCAUAUGCAAUGGUAAAAUAAUAAUUUUUUGGUCUAUGUUCUCUCUCUUUUUUUUUUUUUUUUUUUAUAUAUAACAAAGGUUGCCUUUUCUUGCCAUAAAAUAUAAUAAAGAUUAUCUUUAAAAAAAAAUUUGUUAAGGGUUUAGUUUAAAAUUAUAAUCUUAUCAUUAUUGUCAAUAUUAAUUUUUUAUCAAGUACGUUAGAAGUUAGAAUUUCACCUUUAAAUUGAAUAAGUCGUGAAUCCAAAAUUCAAACCUGAACCCUACGUUUAUAAUAUAAUGUCCCUAUCAAUUGAGUUAUACUCACGAAGACUCUUCAUUGUCAAUAUAACUCACAAAACAUUUCAUCAUAGUUGAUCCAUAAUAGAAUCCUCGCAAUUACUGACCAUAUUCAAUAUACAAUUACUACUAAAAAAAAGUGGAGAAUUCACCAACACCCUUUCAUUUUGGAACCUGUAGAUCAACAGACUAAUGUCAUGUUAGAGUCGAACUUGACGAUGGAUACGUCACCUAGUACAACUCAACAGUCUUUGGUGGCGGUUCAAGAAACAAAUACGAAUGCUACUCUUGGGCAUUAUGAGGCGUCAAUUGAUCCGACUCAACAAAAGGAAAUUAAUCUUGUUCAACAUUUGUUGAUUCAAAGAAAAUUGUUGUGGUACCAUUUACGCCUUAUCUUACAAAAGGUCAAAAAAAGAAAAUUAGCAAGGCAACAUAUCACAACAAAGGAUUGACCCCCAACUUAAGGCGACAACGCUCUCGAACCUCGCUCUCAUAACCGCUCGAGGGAGAGUAACCGUUGGACGACGAAUCUACCAUAUUCUCAGCAGUUUCAAAGCAAAUACUCAUCUUUGUCAACCCAAAAAACGAAGGAAAUGUACAAAAUGCAAAGGAAGAAAGGAAGUACCUUUGAAGUUCAAAGGUUUUUCAGAAAAAAGAGGCAAAACUUUGUAGAACCGUAAACCCCAGAAAUGCAGCCUAGAGAGGAAGGAUUUUCGCGCAAGUUGGUCGGAGGAAAAACUGGGAAAAGAAAACAAUACACUUCUAGGUGAAGUUUAAGAGUGAAUGCAGAAUAUCUGAAACCAUGAAGAUAAAGAGCGUAAAAGUUGGAAACAAAAAGUUUCCCUUCUUUUAUAGGCUUCAAAAGUAUCCAGAUCGACGAUUCAGAAGAGAAGAAACCUUGAAACCAAAGGUUUCUGAUUCAACGAUUAAUGGCAAUAUGACCUCGAACCACGAAGGGCACUCAAGUGGCACGCGCGUGAAGCGCAAAGGCCGGUGCGUGUGCGGGCCACGAAGCAUGCACGUGGAAAGUAAAACUAAACAACCAUCACGUUAUGAACGUUUCAGUUUGAAGCAUUAAAUGCCAACUGCUCCCACUAACUCGCAUGGGGCGCCACCUCCUCGAGGAAGGAAAAACUUCUCGCAAAUGUAAAACUACAGAGGCGCCAACAUGUGAAGGCGCCUGAUCGUAUGCCUCUCUUCACAGCUAAAAGCCAUUGCGCCUUAAAUGCAUCAACAGUUUUGGGGACAAAUGUUCUGGACCAGUUAGAAGACCAAUCUUACGUUGACACGUGGCCUGGCCUACACAGCCUUAAGGCUCUGCGCCUAAAGGAACACGCCAGCUUAAAUGCAUUGUGCCACACAGGAGCGCCCGCGAUGAUAACCUUACAUGUGUCCUCUAAUCGUCCCUAAUCACACGCCGCAAAACUCGAAGACGGUUACUCUCAACGCGCGCCUAUAUAAGGGUGACCUUGCUUCACCCCCAAGGUAUGAUUCACUUUUCACAACACCUUCUAAACACUCUUUCUCAAUUCCAUUACUGACUUGAGCGUCGGAGUGCUAACGUGUCUGAAGACACCUUUUGUCCCACUGCAAGGACUCGUCACCACCGUACCAGAAACCAUCACCGUCACAUCGGAGCACUUUCCACCACUGUUACCUCUCAUCCAUCCUCACCGGACAAAUCAAAACUUCUUCUGCAAACCUUUGAACCUUAAAACUUAUCUUAAACCUGAUGAACCCCCAAUCUCAACUCACGUAAACUUAUGAAGCAAAAAAAAAAAACACAAAUAAAGAAUAUAUAAAGAGAUCACCCAAAACAAGCGAAGAUAAAAAUUGCACAUUCUUGAUACGAGCAAAAUAAGUGCAAUUUUCUUAAAUUAUACUUCACAUAUCCCUCAUUAUAAAAUCCGUUGCAAAAAAAUUGUUUAUCCUUAAUACAUGAUUAUCCAUAAAUUUUAAGUACAUUGCUUUUUUUUUUUUCUUUUUUCUUUCUAAAUAUCAAUUAUUAAUAAGAGUUUAAUGGUGGUGGAUCGACAUUUCAAAACAUUUUUGCACACACAACCAAAAAACAUUCAGAAUUCUCACAUAAAUUAAAAAUAUUAAUUGGCGUGACGAUUUUAAAUAUUUUAAUUGAUUGUGUGCAAAAUUAUUUUGAAUUGUCGAUACACUACCAUUAAUCUCUAUUAAUAUUACCAAUCUAUCUUAGAAUAUAUUUUAAUAUAGUAACAUUGAAAAUAUUUACACAAAAAGAUAUUUAAUAAUAAUUAGAGUCGACAUUUGGAACAAAUUUAUUAUUUCUUCAACUUUUUUUUAGCACGAUUUUUAUAAGAGAUGAAUAGAAUAAAAGUGAUUGAUCAUCAAUCACGCAAAAGAAGAGUUGUUACGCUCUUCGAUGGAGAAUGGACCCAAAAGCUAGGGGCAUGCCUUGUACAAAGAAUACACAGCUUUGUCGUUUUGUUUCAUAGCUGUGCUGUUGCCUGUUACUGUCCCAAAUCAAUGAAUUCAUGCAAACUGGAAUAACAAAAUAACAACGCGUGAUAUAGCUGGCACAUCCACCACUCACUCCACUCAUCCUCCUACAUAAUUUAACUUCAACUAUAUAUAUACCUACAACUACAUCUUACAUUUCCAUCACCUCACAACAUUUCCACAUUCCCUUCUACUUCAUACUUUGUUCUAUCUCAAAAUGGCAUCUUUUAAGUUAAGUGUUAUCUUCACCCUUUUUCUCACAAUUUCACUACUUCAAUUGAGUUCAGCUAGGAAACUCACUGAAUCAGACCAACAACUUAAAUUUCAAUUCCACAAAGGCCCUCUUCUAACCGGUAAAAUUUCUGUAAACCUUAUUUGGUAUGGAAAAUUCAAACCAUCUCAACGAGCGAUCAUAACUGAUUUCAUAACCUCGUUGUCUUCUCCCAUAAAACCAAAAACCACAACACAACCAUCGGUUGCCACGUGGUGGAAAUCAACUGAAAAAUAUUACCAACUCACUAACAACAAGAAAUCAGUUAACCUAGCUCUAUCACUAGGUACUCAAAUUUUGGACGAGAAAUACUCUUUAGGAAAAUCUCUCACAACUAACCAAAUCCUUAAACUCGCAUCAAAAGGACAACAACAAAACGCCAUCAACGUUGUCCUAACAGCCGCUGAUGUGUUAGUUGACGGUUUUUGUUCAAGUAGGUGUGGAACCCAUGGUUCUUCUUAUGGUGCACGCGUGAAUGGAAAGAGAAACAAGUUCGCAUACAUUUGGGUUGGAAAUUCAGAGACACAAUGUGCUGGUCAAUGCGCGUGGCCAUUUCAUCAACCAAUUUAUGGUCCACAAAGUGCUCCGUUGGUUGCACCAAAUAACGAUGUGGGUCUUGACGGAAUGGUUAUAAAUGUUGCUAGUCUUUUAGCUGGAACCGUAACCAAUCCUUUUGGUAACGGUUAUUUUCAAGGACCAAAAGAAGCUCCUUUGGAAGCUGCUUCGGCUUGCACCGGUGUUUAUGCUAAAGGAGCUUAUCCUGGUUAUGCUGGGGACCUUUUGGUGGACAAAACAAGUGGUGCUAGCUACAACGCUAAUGGUGAUAAUGGAAGGAAGUAUUUGUUGCCUGCUAUUGUUGAUCCUAAAACUUCAGCUUGUUUUACAUUGGUAUAAAGAAUAAUUGUUUUGUUGUUAGGCAAUGAGAGAUUCUUUGAUUUAUUCAUUCAAUUAGUUGUUAUAACCUCGAAAUUAAUCUUUUAUUCUUUGAUUCUUUUUAAUCUUAAUAAAUAAAUAAUAUCAAUAUUAUUAUAUUGUCCUCCAUACAUGCAACACAUGUACAGACGGACGACGGUGCACAUGGCAUACUCUAUCCAUCUCAACGAUAAACAUUCACACAAAUCAAAUUUUAUUGAAUGAAGCAAAGAUAUCAUAAUUUUACCAUUGUAGUCUUACUAUAUAUCCUGAUGCAUAAUAAAUAGAAAGUGAAAAGAAAAAAAAAUAGAACGUGAAAAAUUGAGUUGAGAGUUAUGAUGAGAUUUGCAUGAAGCUUAUAGUUGGCCAGUUGACUAUGAAUGUGACUAAUACACCGUUCAAUUCCAAAUCAAGCUACUUAAUAUUAUUAUAAUUUUUUUUCCUUUUUUUGGUAUUAAAUUUAAUUUUUCCAUUUUUUUUUCUUUUUAAAAGAAAGAGUUGGGGAGUGUUGAAGCACAUAGUAUAAAUUAAAUGGUAAAAUUGAAAAAGAGAUAGUUAAUAUUAUACUGAAAAUUGAAAUAAUACUCGAUUUUAGAUAAACUUCUUUGGCAAAUGUCCCACUCAUAAUGUGACACAAUGAUUAUUUUGAAUGAUUUUUUUUUUUUUAAGAAAUUAUUUCAAUGACUAAAUAAUUCAAUUUCUUGAUGAUAUCAUCGUAAGUAGACAUGACAACACAACCCGUCCCCAUUGGAUCCCACCCACCCCGUCCCGAUUUUAAUGGGGAAAAGCCGAAUUGGUUAUGGGUGCGGGUUUGGAGAAAACCCGGAGUUUUAAUACGGGGGCGGGGGAUACUCACACUCGCCCUCGCCCCGUUUUUUUAAAUUACUAUUUUUAUCCUUAUUUUUUAUAGUCAUAUUACUCAUAUACCCUUCUUAAUCUUAACAUAGAAGCUUUUGUUUUAAUUAUCUUGCCACUAAACAUAUUUUUUCACGAUGAUGUUAUGAUCUCUAAUGAAUUUAGAAGCUUUUGUUAUUAGCUCUUUUUGUUAUUGUGAAAAAAUAAAAUAAAAAAUUGUCUACAAUUUUCGCGGGUGGGGUUGGGGAAAUCCGUCCCCGUUGGGGCAGGUCCGGGUGUAAAAUUUCUAUCCAGACGGGUUUGGGGGUGGGGGCGGGGCUGGGUACAAUGAAACAGGGACGGGGCCGGGUAUGUUAAAACUUGCCCCCGCCCCGUUGCCAUGUUUAAUUGUAAGAUCAUGUAAAUUAAUUUUUUUCCGUGAAUUUAGUUCAGUUGAUAAGGACAAUGCAUAAUAUAGAUAAGAUUCGAUUUUUCAGACAAAAAAAAAAAAAAAACUAAUUUAUUUCCAAAAACAACCCUUAAAAUAUUACUAAAGAAGUAAAUUUGUAUGGAUAAAUGGCGUUAAUUUCAUAAUUCCAACUUCAACUAAUGCAUAUGCAAUGGUUUAUAUAAAAAAGGUUGCCUUUUCUUGUCGAAAAAUAUAAUAGAGAUUAUCUUUAAAAAAAAAAUAAUGUUAAGGGUUCAGUUUAAAAUUAUAAUCUUUAUCAUUAUUGUCAAUAUUAAUUUUUUUAUCAAGUAGGUUAGUGUUAGAAUUUCAUCUUUAAAAUGCAUAAGUCGUGAAUCCAAAAUUCACACCAUAUCAACUAAGUUAUGCUCACGAAGACUCUUUAUUAUCAAUAUUACUCACAAAACAUUUCAUCAUAGUUGAUCCAUAAUAGAAUCCUCGCAAUUACUACCAUAUUCAAUAUACAACUACUAUUAAAAAAAAGUGAAGAAUUCACCAACACCCCUUCAUUUUGGAACCUCUAGAUCAACAGGCUAAUGCCAUGUUAGAGUCGAACUUAACGAUGGAUACGUCACCUAGUACAACUCAACAGUCUUUGGUGACGGUUCAAGAAACAGAUACGAAUGCUACUCUUAGGCAUUCUGAGGCGUCAAUUCAUCCGACUCUACAAAAGGAAAUUGAUCUUGUUCAGCAUUUGUUGAUUCAAAGAAAAAUGUUGAGGUGCCAUUUACGCAUUAUCUUACAAAAGGUCAAAAAUAGAAAAUUAGCAAGGCAACAUAUCACACCCGAUCUAUGAAUUCCCCUAUAGAACCGAAGGGUGGUUGAGCAGCCUCUUUUUCUUUUGGGCCAUUUUUUUCUUUCUUCGUUUAGUUUUUUUUUGUUUUUUUCUCUUACUUUCUUUCGGUUUUGUUUUGAGGGUUUUGGUUUAGCCCCCUCUUGUAUAGUUUCUUUCUUUUUUAUUUAUAUUAUGAGUGGGUGGCAGUGUAAGGCUUUCUUGAGAUGCCAACGGUGUUGUGAUGUCCGAAUGAUCCACUCGAAAAUCAGUUGUUAGAAUUAACAGGUCUUCAAAUCGUUCAUUUAAAAAAAAGGAAACCCGAUUUUUCAAACUCUCAUUGUUGUUUUAACUCGCUCUAUUUUAUUGAAAAAAAAUAAAAUACAUUUACACUUUGCAAGACUAUAUCUAUGUGUUUGUGUCUUGUUAGACUUUGUAGAUCUCUUGUUAUUUGUUAAUAACUUGAUAAUUUUAAUUUAUCUGUAUAUUUAUGUUUUUUUUUUUCUUCCAUGUCUUGCUAAUAUAUAAGCAUUUGUGUUUGACCAUAAAGUUUAUUAAAGAUUUUAGUAUUUUUCAAUAACAUUUUUAACUUACUAAAAUGUAUUUUCUAUUUAUAUACACGUUUAUUUGUUUUGAUAACUAUUUUAUUGGUGCAAAAUAUCUACCAAUAAUAUUAAUGAUUAUUCUCCGCUUCAGAACCUAUUUUUCAAAUUCAAGGGAUCUCCUCUCGGAACAACAUAUUUUUCAUCCACCGUGCGUGGAUCUGAGACCUUAAGAGAUCCGAGUAAAAUUCCACAAAGACCAACAUAAUGUUAGUGUGUAUAUAUUUAUUGAGUGUAGCUACCGAUAGUUGAUGCUUAUUCUGCGAAACUAGAAUUUUCAAUGACAUCUAUUUGUUUUAAUUAAUAUUACAUAUAUAGAGACUCAAUAAUAAUUUUAUGUGUUCUAAAUUUCUACAUGAUCCUAUCUUUGUUGUUUUGUCUAGUUUUCCACUCGUGCCGAAUUUAAUUGAGCAGUGUUGACAACACUUUUGUUUUAACAUUCUCUUCAACAUUUACUUUUUUAUUUGCUUAAAUCAAAUAGGUGUCACACUUUAAAAUUGAAUUACACUUGUUAUGGUCAUAUAUUAACGUCAUCCAAUAAAAAAAUAAGUGUUGAUGAGAAUGUUGAAAAUAAAGUGUCAUCAAAAUUUCUUAUUUUAAUUUGAACAUGUUGUGUUUAAAUCUCAUUUUUCACAACAAAUGUGAUGUUUUACCGAUACCCUAAUGUGUGUACGAGGGUAUGAAGGUAAGACUAAGAACUAAGAAACUAUACGGUAUAUAUACUUUAUCUCAUUUUUUGUUACAUUGCAUCAAAAACCCACAUGAUAUGUCAUGUUAGCCAUGUCAUCUAACUUAGAUUGAAAGAUGAAAUUAAAGACUAAACCAAUGGGGGCUAUUCAGAGAAAUUUAUUGGAUCAUCUUAUGUCGUUUUGUGGGUUAGGGGGUAUGUCAAAAAUGUUCGGGUGGCUCUUAACAUCAUUUGGGUUUUGGAUGUGUGGGGUUAUUUAGCACCAGAGAAAUAGACUCAAAUUCAAUCAUAAGGAGGAAUAUUUGCAAUCUUAUGCGAAAAAGUUAAGCUUUAAUCAUUUUCGUGGUUGAAAUUAAGAUAUAUUACUUUCGAUUUCGAUUAUCAUUUUUUGAGGCUUAAUCAUAUUCAUUGCCUAACUGUUCUAACUUAGCUUAUUGUAUCUUCUUUUGUUUUGUUUAUCUUGUAAAGUUAAGUCGUUUCUGAUACAUCUUGUGCUGAAAGAUUUGUUUUGGUUGGUAAUUUAUAUAUUUCAUUUUGGUCUCUUAGAAAAAACUAACAAUGGGGAUAUAGGGAUUAAAAAAAUUGUUAAAAAAACAUAGGGAUAAGAUCUAAAAUAGAGAAUUGAAUGACUAAAAUUGGCUAUUUACAUAAGUAUACGUAUGGAAGUUUUGCAAAUGUCCUUUUAACCUUAAAACUUAUCUUAACAUUGAUGAGUCUGAAUCUCAACUCUCGUAAACUUUUAUGUAAAAAAAAAAAAAAAAAAACACAAAUGGAGAAAAUAUAAAGACAUUACCUAAAACAAGUGAAGAUUAAAAUUGCACAUUCUCAAUACAAUCAAAUUAAGUGCAAUUUUCUUAAAUUAUACUUCAUAUAUCGCUAAUUAUAAGAUCUGUUUUAUUUUUAAAGGUCUAAUUAUAAGAUUUGUUACAAAAAUUUGUUUGUCCCUUAAUACAAAAGUAUCUAUAAAUUUUGGGGUAAUAGUCCCUUUGGUCCAUUAAUUUGUAAUGAGCAGUUACAAUGAUCCUUAAAUGUAUAAAAGUAUCAAAAUAGUCUAUGAUUGUGCAAUUUGUUAGUCAAAAUAGUCUUUGAUGUUAAAAUACUUCAUUAAUAUUGUCAUAUUACCCCGUCAAUAUACUUACUUAUUGUCAUAUCAGUCUUUAUAAAUACUUAAUUAUUGUCAUUUUAAUCCUUAUAUGAAAAGAGUUAUUGUGAACGUACAUUGAGAGAUUACUUUAGCGCCAGAGACCAUUUUGAGUAACAGAGUGCACAAUCAGAGACUAUUUUAAAAUUUUGAUAUAUCGAGAGACUAUUGUGACUACUCAUUACACAUUCAAGAACCAAAUGAUUAUCCCAUAAAUUUUUAAAUACAUUGAUUAUUUUUUUUCUAAAUAUCUAUUAUUAAUACAACCACUCUAUCUUAGAAUAUAAAAAAUAUUUACAUUGAAAGUAUUUAUACAACAAGAUAUUUUAUAAUAGUUAGAGACAUUUGGAACAAAUUUAUUCUUUCUUAUAACUUUUCUUAGCAUGAUUUUUAUAAGAGAUGGAUAGAAUAAAAGUGAUUGAUCAUCAAUCACGCAAAAGAAAAGUUGUUACGCUCUUCCAUGGACAAUGGACCCAAAAGCUAGUGGCAUACCUUGUACAAAGGAUACACAGCUUUGUCGUUUGGUUUCAUACAUGUGCUGUUAAUUGUCCCAAAUCUAUGAAUUCAUGCAAACUGGAAUAAUAAAAUAUCAACGCGUAAUAUAGCUGGCACAUCCUCCACUCACCCUCCAACAUAAUUUGACUUCAACUAUAUACCUUUCUAUUUUACACGUUAAUUAAUUCCUUUUAAAUACACUUUCCACUAUAUAUAUACCUACAACCCCAUCUUACAUUUCCAUCAGCACAUAACAUUUCCACAUUCCUUCUACUUCAUACUUUGUUCUAUCUCAAUACAUAUCCCAAAUGGCAUCUUUUAAGUUAAGUGCAAUCUUUACUCUUUUUCUCACAAUUUCACUACUUCAUUUAAUCUCAGCUGCUAGAAAAUUCACUGAAUCAGACCAACAACUUAAAUUUCAAUACCACAAAGGCCCUCUUCUCACCGGAAAAAUCUCAAUCAACCUCAUUUGGUAUGGAAAAUUCAAACCAUCUCAACGAGCCAUCAUAACUGAUUUCAUAACCUCCCUCUCUUCUCCUAAACAAGGAACAACCACAUCACAACCAUCCGUUGCCACGUGGUGGAAAUCAACCGAAAAAUAUUACCAACUCGCGAACAAUAAGAAAUCAGUUAACCUAGCUCUCUCACUAGGUUCUCAAAUUCUCAAUGAGAAUUACUCAUUAGGAAAAUCUCUCACAACUAACCAAAUCCUUAAACUCGCAUCAAAAGGACAACAACAAAACGCCAUCAACGUUGUCCUAACAGCCGCUGAUGUGUUAGUUGACGGUUUUUGUUCAAGUAGGUGUGGAACACAUGGUUCUUCUUAUGGUGCACUCGUAAAUGG
rnacentral:lncRNA from 1 species